rnacentral:lncRNA from 1 species
AAAACUGAAGUUAUGCCUCUCUAUAAUUUAUUUGAAUCUUGUCAAAUAGCAAAGCAUGUUAUCUGGAAAAUAAGAGAUCAUAGUAGAAUGAGCUCUCUAUCUAGACAUAUUAUAAGACCCCCAAAAUUGCAUGUGUUAAUUCUAACAUGUAUUUAAGAAAUUUAGUCUAUUUAAGAAAUUAGGCCCUAUGGAGAUCAACAAUAAGAGAUCAGAUUAUUAUAUAAUUCCUUCAUUAUUAGAUUAUUAUGUUGGUAUUAAUCGCUAUUAACAAUAAUGUUGAUUACGACUUAACGUAGACGCAUUAUGCAUGUCUUAGUAACAUUUCAGGAUCCUUGCAAUCUUUUUUAGAAUCCAAUGAUUUAGUAAUUACGCUCGCUUUAAUUAAUAAAGCCGUGGUUAGAUACCGAUGACUAUGAUCACUUUGACAUGUACAUUGAAUUAGAGGGUCAGUUAUCAUCAUUUAAUUUGGAUAAGUAAUAUCUGGGCAAUAGUAACAACCAUUAGCAUGGUAUUACUAAACUGGUUGUAUGACAUUUGAAUGCAAUUGACCUUUGGAUUCCUAAUUAGUAGUUUCUGUCACAAGCUUGAACUUUUUGCUUUUAAGAAUUUCAUUGAGGUGUUAUUCCUUUCUCCUUUCGGUGGUUGUCACAAUCCAAUUAUUAAGCCUCUUUUUAUUUCUCAUUUUUUUCUUUAUUCUUCACUUUAUUCUUUUCUUUAAUCUUAAUUGAUUAAAGAAAAGAACAAUUUAAUUUUGUUCUUUUUUUUAAUUUGUUACUCUGAUCAAUUUAAUUUAUUAUUAUUUUUUGGGACACUUUUGUGUAAGUGUCCUAUCUAUGUCCAAAGCCUCUUUAAGAAAAAAAAAAUCUAUAGAUGUAUGAACAGCAAACAUCUAUAAUUGAUGGAAGCAGAGUUGAAAGAAAACGCAUUUCUUUCAACUUUGCUUCCAUCAAUUUGUUUCAUUCUUCAAGCAACGUCAUUUCACUUAUUAAUUCAGAAAUUUUAUUCUGUUCAAAGGCGUAAGAAGUAAAACAUUCUUCAUCUUUUCCUGAACCAAGAUUCCUGUAGAGAAAACAAUCAUUCAUAGGAUAAGGUAUUGGUGUUUAGAAAUCAAAUUAGCUUCCACUUCAAGGCCUUUGAAGAUCUUUGCUAUCUACUAGUAAAUGACUAUAUUUUUAACUAGAGAACCUAAAAAUUCCUCAACUAGUUUAUCAUGCUUACUCUGCCACUUCAUCUUAAAUCCAAUUCAUAUAACUUAGUUGGGGGAAAUUGCACUAUCUGGUUACUGAACUGGUGGUGAAAUUUUGUUUAUAUUAUUAGACUUUGAUCUGUUGCAAUUGAGUCAUUGGACUCCAAAUUUCAUUUAAUUUGGUCACUCCAUCAAACUCAGGUUAAUGGGUUAAUAUCUCUAGUGUGGAUUGUGGAAUAGUGCGUCGGCUGGUUCGGUUGCCGCUUUAUCUUAAAUAUAAUAAUGUUCAGCUUCAUCUUAAAUCUAGUAGUGUUUAGCCAUCAAGUUCGAUGAUUGACGGUGUAAUUUUAAUUACAUUAUUAUUACGUUGGACAUCACUGUUUGAUUGCGUUUUCUUAACAUCCGUGAUGAGUUAUCGUUCUUCCCAUCUAACUAAUUAGGGACAUAUUUUCUGGUCAUUAAACUGGUAAUUAAGUGGGCCUUAUUUGUUGGAUCUUUAUCUCUGUUCUGGAGCUGCUGUAGAGUUUAUAUCAAUAACUAGUUUCAUCUUUGCUUCUCCAUUUCUGUUACGACGUUAGCUUAUGGUGUGAGAAACGUGAGAAUUGCUACUCUCUGUUCUUAGCCAUUUCUUUCUUCGUUCCUCAAAAGUUCUUUAUUGACAAGGGGUAUAUUUGUGGAACUACAUGUUGUCUGAAUUAUUGAAUGAAUGCAGGCUGAUGAGGACGCUGCAGACGCUUCGACUCUAAUAGGAAGUAAGCUAUAUGGAUGACUCUUUUCUUUUCUGUGCUUGAGAUACCAUCAUUCUAGUUCAAUAACAAUGUUUAGCCUAACCCUGCUAUAUCGCAGUUCCUCUAAAGACGUCGCACGUGAAAUUUGUUCUUCACAAGGAAUGCCUGUUUGGUCAACGGUUUCUUCUCGUUGGCGAUGACUCGAAUAUCAGUUCUUGGGAUCCAUCAAAAGCCAUUCCUUUGGAAUGGUCUGAUGGCCAUGUGUGGACAACUGAGCUGGUAAGUUUAAGAGAUCCCAUACUCUCUACUGCUUAACAUUAUUAGUUCAAUUACUUUUUAAGUAUCUGAUCUGGUACUUUCAUUCAGGAUUUACCAAUCAAAGUGAUAGGCUGAUAUUAUUACUGUGAGAUUCUUCAAUAAUCAGUAUGAUUUUUUUUUGCUUGUCUUCAAAGUGCAUGAAGUUUGGAAUAUUGAUCUAAAAAAAUAAGGACUAAAUGAUUUCAUUAAGUAUUUAAAUGAUGAUUUUAAGCUUAAUCAUGUUGUGAAUAUACAAUAUGUAGUAAGACAUACAAACGAUGUUUUGGAUCAUUGUAAAGCUAGUAGCACAUUAAGCUUAAUUCUGUAGGCACUUCUCUACUCUUAAUUGGAUACCAGUUGGUUGCAAUGAUUGUGAUACAUCAUGGUUAUGUUACAGAUGCUUCUUCUGAAUAUAGGAUUUAUAUAUGAUGUAAAUUUUUUGAGGUUGGGGAACUUGUCGGCGAACUCUAAUGACUGAAAUGACGUGAUGCUUAUUUCUAAUAUGGUAGAUUAAUGGAGGGACUUCGUUAUUAGGUGGGAAAAACUAUACGGGUCAGUAUCCGCAUCUAAACUUUUAUUUUCUGCCAGGGAACUUUCUCACUUCAUAGCAACUGGAAAACUUCACUGCAAGAUCGACAAAGUCGCCGACAUUCUAGAAACUAACCGACCUGACGCCAGAAAUGCUUUCUACCGGGCAACUAUCAAGCAGGGCGAUUUCUUGCUCAACCGCAUCCAGAAGCUAUCAUGAGUGAUCGAUUUGUAAACAAUCUUUUGUCCCUUAAACUUAAUAUGGUGCUGAAAUUUUCUUUCACUUAAUAUGGUGCUGAAAUUUUCUUUCACUUAAUAUGGUGCUGAAAUUUUCUUUCAUCUUUUCAUACAUCUCUCUAUGAAGCUCCUUAUCCGCAAAUUCAGUUGACAUUUGUUUGGAUAGAAAUUUCUGGGUCGAUGCGUAUCGAUUUGAAUUCUUAUAUUCCUAUUUGUCAUUUUGGCUAAAAUUAGCACACAAGAUCUGAUUUCUUGCGGCAGCUUAUCUAUAUUGUUUUUUCAUGUUGGUAGUGCAGUUCAUUCGGUAGUACUUUUUACUUGAAAUUGAAUUUAUUGGCAGAUGUUUAGUGCUGGCUCGAUUAAACUAACUGAUAUUUCUGCACGUACUGACCUAAUCUAAGGCAAGGUGAGUAUUUAUUCGCAAAAUAUGUCUUAUAUUUCUUGAAAUUAAGAUGUCUUUCGCUCCUUUCAGCUCUAACUUAAUUGGUUUCAUGUUUUCUAUCUAUCUUUUAACUGAAUUGAUAUUUGAGGGUAAUCUCUUUUGUCCUUUUGAACCAUAAAAUGUAGGAUAUUUCAGGACAAUCUCUUUUGUUCUUUCGAAUCAUAAAACUUGUCCCAAAAAAGAGUUCACCAAUCUUAGAAUGUUAUCCUGGUUUCAAAGUUUUGGUGGUCAAAGUUCCUAAGUUCAUAUAUGGCGGGGGACCACAACUUCUGUUGUUUCUGAUAAAGUGAUACAAUAUUAAAUGAUACAAUGUGUCAUAGUUUUUUGGCUCUUUUGUUGUUCUCUUUUUAUUGGUGCCAUAUGCUUCAUGAGUUGUGGUAAAUUAUUAAGUGCAAUAGAUUGGGGAGCCACCAUCUUAAUUACUACUUGUAUACGAAAUGGAGAUGCAUGUAUUAAAUUGCAUUUCGAGUCUGAUAAUCUGUCACCUUUAAAAUGUCUUGCUCAUUGUUGGAUAAUGUCUUUUUUUAAGAUGAAAUGAUUAUCUAAUACUAGAAAAUUUAUUCGUUUAGGUUUCAGACGCAUCCAGCGCUCGUAAUAUGCAUCAAUAAUCUCGUUGCCCUUCAGGUAAAAAUUAAACUUAUCUUAAUUGGUUUUCAUGUUAAAAGAUUGUUGACUAAUCUUUUAUUAAUUUCAGUAUUGUUGAAUUUGUAGGUUCAACAUCUUAAUUGCCGAGCUCACUAAGACUGGAUCUGAUAUGAUAUUAUUAGUUUUUGUUUUUAUUUCUCUUUCUCUAGGGUUAAAAAGCUAGAAAUUGUUGGUACUGUGAUUUAGUGACUAAAUACUCAUUUAAAGAUAUAUGGAUAGUACUGUGAGACAUUUUGGUAUAUAUGACUACAAAACUUCUUUUAUAUGCUUUCUUUGUUAAUGCAAAUCAAGCCGAAUAAAAUUAAAGAUAUGCUUGAUGAUAAUUAUUGUGGAGUGGUAUUACAUUUUAAAAACUGUGAUGCAUCAAGAAAAAAUAGGAUAUUUUUUAAAAAAUGGGACAGUUAUAAAGUGUCGUUGAAAUUUAAAAAAAAGUGUUGCUAGAAUAUUAUUUUGCAUCACUUUUAUGUGCUGCUAAAAGCUUAAAUAAGUGUCGGUAUAUUAGUAGCACUCUUUUUAGGUUAUACCGACACUCUUAAAAAGUGUCACUAUAUACCUAGUGACGCCACAUAUAGCAACACUUUUUAAAAGUGUCGGUAAUUUAACCAGCAGCACUUUUUCUGACCUGUACCAACACUUAAAAGUGUCGUUAUAUACCAUUUUUGUUGUAGUGCCUCUACCCCUAGGCUAUGCCGACUCGGGGUACCGCUAUCUCUGAUGUCUGGGGUAGGGCGCUAUCUACGGAGCUAUGCUCUUGCCUCGCGCCGUCGCGCCGCUCACGUGCGAACCUGAAACACCCCAAAGCAACGUGGGGUGAGAACCAACUCCAUGGUUCCCAGUGGGUACGGCCACCCAAAGGAAAAGCUCGACCAACAGGUCCGAAGGAGGCAAACUGCAGGUUAGAUAAGAAAACAGAUAGAUACGAUAUCUAGAUUAUGCAGCUAACAAUACCAUACUUUGCCUCACUCAUGCAACAAUGUCAUGCAACAAUGCAAGUAAUGCAAAAACUAGUAUAUCACCCGAUACUACUUUCUAUCUCAUCAUCUAGUUCACAUCAAACUACUCUCUAAGGUUUCUAUUACCCUAGAUCCAUUUCAUCUAUCACUAGCCUUUAAGGUUUCCUCUACCUUGUCCAAGCUAGCCACCCGACUCUGCCUCGAGUCAAUCAACUGCGGAGUACCGCAUUCUGUCCGGCUCGAGGUGAAGGAACCCUCACAUACACCUCGGCCUUAAAUCCACUCAACAUAUACUAUGCCUCAAUGAACAAUAAAUGAGCUACUACCUAGCAUAUGAUCUACCACAUGGUACUAGGCCUCAAUAAUCACAUGAAUGAACGAGUGACUACAUAGUGCAUUGUGCAACUAUGCCUCGAUAAUCAGAAUGAACGAGCUACUAUAUAGUAUGUCGUGCAACUAUGCCUCGAUAAUCAGAAUGAACGAGCUACUACAUAGUGCGCCGUGCAACUAUUCCUUGAUAGUAUCAAAUCUCAUGGCCAACCCGAAGGAUACUGCCCAAGGCCAACCCGAAGGUUGCUACCUCGACUCACAUCUCAAAUCUCGCUAGUGGGGAUAUACCACCCCAGACCCGUCUGCGGGACAAUUAUGUUUGCCCCAACGCGACUACUAUUCCGGAGCUCGCUGGUAAUCAAGUUACCCAUAAUGCGACUACUGCUUCGGAGCUUGCUACUUGAGUGGAGCGACCACGCCAAGGUUACACAGACUAUGUGAGUAUGAUCCAAUCCCCACGCUGGAGGAUACCCUAUCCACUAGGACCACAAUGCCUCAACUGCACUAAUGCCAAAUGCAUAAUAUCCACAACAUGACAAUCGGAAAAAAUCUACUAUCCCUAGGUUCAAAUGCCAUAGUGUUCCACUACACUAGAUUUGAUGCAAUACGCCACAACUAGGGAAACUCACCUAUUCCCUAUGCUCAAUGCUAGUGUUCUUUACACUAUAUUCAAAUGCCACUCACCUAGGCUUAAUCAACAAUAGGUUCAACACCUUUAUCACAUAACCUAGGUUUAACUAAUUCUAGGUUCAAUCCUCAAUCUAUGUUCCUCAAACUAGGUUUAAUGUCAUUCUACCUAGAUCUUGAUUCUAGGUUCACUUGUUCGACCAGGUCAAUGCCACUCGAUCUAUCCUAGGUUCACGACACUAGGUUCACAUGCCACCUAUGUUCUUUAACACAAGGUUUAAUGCCACUCGAUCUAUUCGACACCUAAUUGUCCACAUCGAGUUUCUAUAAUUAUUCACAUUAUCAACAUGCAUAUUAUACUUAGCCUCUUCUCAUUAUGCCACUAUGCACUCUUCUAGCAUGUAGAUUAACAUGUCCAUAUGCAAUAUCAUCUAGCAUGUACUUUCAAUACACAACAUGCAAUUAUCAACUAGCAUACCAUAUAUUCAUAUGCUCUAACACAUCUACAACAUCAUCAUGCAUAUUCUAUCUAUAUGCUUUAACACAUUCAUGAUGCCAUCAUGUACCUAUUCUAAUUAUGCCCACCUGCAUAUUAUACUUCAUCCAAGGUAGCUAUUACAUAGUAUCACAUGCAUUCACCCUAAGCAUUCAUCUAUGCAAUCAACUACUAUUAUGCAUAUAUAUGCAUCAACGAGAAAGCACAUUUCUCUUCGACAUGUAGGCGACCUAGUCGCUUCGGUAAACACAAGCCACCUCAAUUCGCUCUCUGAUUGCUUGUAGUCACUUGCAAUCGGCCUCCCGCGGCACUCGGCACCUGGUUUGGCCCGAUCUUGCAAUCGCCCUCCAACCGUGCGCCGAAUCGCGGCUCCGAAAAUUAUAGGUCUAUGGUUUACCGCCACGGUGCUCCAAAUCCGUUUUCAUGAUUUUUGGACGUCGCCUCGGCCCUCCAGGCGUAAACGAAGCUAAAUCGUCAGUUUCUUCAAUAUCUUUACAACGGCUCGACGAAUCGUCGAACCGACUUCGCCAACGCGUUCAUGUGCCUAGCAAUUAGGUUAACAGAGGGUCAAUUGAGAUCAAACCCUUAUAUAAACAAAAACCCUCUUUAGAACCCUAGGUUUGCUACUAUUGCAAGAAACCUCAUUUAAACUCUAGAUUCAAGCAAUUAGCAACCUAUUAGCAUCUAAGGGUUCCAACAAUACCAAUUCCAAGGUAUAAAAACCUAUCUCUAAGAAUCUACCAUAAAAGCUCCUUGAGCUUACCUCCAAAAGCUUGCUCCAAGCUUGAGAAGAAGAAGAUGAAGAUGAUGAUCCCACUCCUUUGCUUCUUCUCCACCACUUGCUCCUCCAAGAUCCACCCUUUUUGAGAGAGAGAGGGAGAGUUUUAGAGAGAGAGUGUGUGUUCUUAGGGUUGCAAGGUGUGAGGGAGAGAGCAAAUGAGCUCUCUAUAGCUCAUAUACACUCACAUAAUGCCCAAAAGUGCAAAUAAGCCCCUCAACUUUCAUUUUAGUACACAGCCCUCGCGGGGCCAAUUUUUGUAUAAGGGACUGGUCCCUUAUACAAAUAGGGACCGGUCCCCGAAGGUCCAGAAUCUCAACAUUUAGGACUUAGCCAAAUUUCCAGCUUUUUCACCGUUUAGCCAAAUUUUUAGCUUUUUCACCGUUUCUUCUCCGUUUUCGCUCAUUUUCGCUCGUUUGACCUCCGAUUCUUUUCAAAUCGAACCGAGACUCUCCAAAUAUGUUUUCGAGCGUGUUUUCAUCAUCUUUUCAUCCGCGCUAAUGCCGGAUUUAGUCCAUGGUCCAACAUAACCUUUUGAGUCCCGUUUUCGCGCCUACGCGCACCAAAUCGCCCGAAUGCUCCCGAACUUCACCAAACUUUACCGGAACCUUUCAAAUGGCUCUCCAACCAAUAUAAACCGUAACUUCAUUAUUUUAGAAGUCCAGUACCUUACAGGCCAACUAGGCCCUAAAUCCCCUCCAAUCAUUACCUGAUUUAGGUAAGGAGGUAGUCUUCGCAAACAACGAGAUUAAACCCUCAAGAUGCACCAUUUCGUGCUCAAAUUCCCAAGGCGAGUCGAUUCAGCUCGCGCGACCAAGGGUACAAAGUACCUCACAAUCACUCUACAUCAAAUAGGGCCAAUUAUUUGUUGGCACGCAAAACCCUCUCACAAGGCAGGGUGUCCGAAACGACACACCCGAUUAUCUAAUCAUCCUACAUGCAUCGAAAAAUAAUCAAUGCUACACAACUCGACAAACAGCCGAUCAAGGGAUGCAAAUGAUGCAGUCAUCACAAACUUGCUCAAAUUCAAAUAGCAUUAAAUAACAUGCUACCUACAGCAAUCAUCUCAGUCGCCACACCCAACUCCAGCAAUUCCGUGGGCAUACAUCCAUUGGGAGUCUCUCGUGUCGAGGUCGGUGCAGAUGCCUUUGCUAACACGCCAUUCCCCGGGCACUCUAAUCGAAAAUGGCCCGCCUGGCCACACGAGAAACACUUUUCUCUCCGCCGAGGACACUGUGGGGAAACAUGCGGACCUCUGUAAAUCACACAUUGUAUUGGCGGUCGACGAUGCAACGUCCUUUUCCCAGCAAAAGGAUCACGUCCUCGAAAUCGAUUCUUCUUCAAUUUCCUUGAUGAUCCACCAACAUGUAACUUGUCACUCUUGGUGGUCUUCUUUGCCACCCCAAUAACCUCCGCGCCUCUCCCCGAAGUCAAGGCGUGAUCCGAAAUCUCAUGGAAUUUCUUAAGAUCAGCCGUCUGCUGAAUCAACAGGCUCUCCAAUCGUCUGAUUCUCUCGUCCUGUCGGUGCAAAGCCUCGGCUUGAAGUAGCGUCACGCUCGACUGUCACUCCACCACGCCAACUAAAGUGGCCAACUGCUCUCUCAACUCCCGAACCUCGUUGGAUCGGGGGAAUGCAGGCUUCUCCAGCUCAGUCGCCUCGGCUGCCUUAGAGCGUGUCAUCGACAUCACAAGCUGCAACAAACAUAACAAGCAUAGGUUAGAACAACCCAUGGUAUCGCAGCCCCACUCGUAAAUGCAAAGUCCCAAUCAUGCGAAAGUAAUGAAGUGACCUCCCACUAUUCCUCAAUAUCUCGUUGUCGGCCGCCAACGUGAUCUUGCAAGGACAUAGAUGUUAUUCACUUCGAUCCAACUCCAACACCUUUGGAGUUUUAAAUAUGACCGAAUCAUUCUUUCGCCCACAAAUGGUCCCAAAAGACCCUGUCUCUCACAUUCCUAUCCCUUAUCGUCCAACCGGCCUAAGGUUUGCUUUGUCUCCUAAGACUGAACCCUAGGCUCUGAUACCAUAAUAAUCUGUCACGCUCCGGGCCGAGCGGAAGCCCGCCGGCACGUGCACAGACCCGCCGUGUACACCAAACAACCACAAUGCACACAAGGCGUCUACUAAAACAGGAAAUGAACACAGAAAAGUCCUAACAGGACUAUCAGAACGAGUAAUAUAAAAUCACUACUGUUCUAACACAAGGAGAUCUACAAGAUAUACAAAAUGUAUACAACUAAAUCCGAAGGUCUCACAAUAUCUCUAAAACAAUUACAUAAUACAUCUUUCCACAAGAUGCAAAAAGAAAGAUGAUGUCGGGUUCCUCUAAAUAUCUCCGUAGGGGCUCUAGCUAGUCGCUAACCCCUUGCCACGAUUUCUAGCCUCUUCCGCUGCGAAAGGCUCUGAAAUAAAACCUACAACAAAUGGGGGGUGAGAACUAUUAAACAAUAGUUCCCAAUGGAUAAGCCGCCGAGAGUGACGAAAUACACCACUAGGUCAACUGAGGCAUGCUAUAAAAGGGUAAGUAAACAACAUAUAUAUAUAGCAAGUAAAAUUAACAAGUUUAAACAUAAUCAUGCUUCCACUACAAGAUUAACUAUCAUGUAUAUGAUAUUCUAAUUACAUAUGUUCAAUUAUAUGCCCAUGUCGAUUAUAUGCAUAUUCAACUAUAUGCCAAUGUCAAUUUACAUGCAUAUUCAUAUGUCCAUAAUGCUACAAGGGUAAAUUAUGCUUUACAUUGCUAAUCUUCCAUGCAUCUAUACUAAUCAACAUAGAUGUAAACAUACUACUACUAGAGUGUCCAUGCUAUGGAUGACUAACAUAAGGUCCACAAAAUGCACUACCAUGCAUGUCAACUAGUCCAACCAAAAUGCACUAUCGCUACUAAGUAGUAGUUCCAUAUUUGGCUUUAGGUAUCAUAGUUCAAUCCUCGUCAAUGGAUCUACACAUGUGUAGUCCAGCUGCGCGCCUACCUAAUUGCGGUGGUAGCGCCAACAUUUCCUCGCAGGAAUGAGCCUGUCUCACACAGACCCAGUAGGUACCAAUCCCGCACAGGGCGAGUAUGUAUCGCAUUUAGGUCAACUCCGGAGUGCCGGCUUGUGGGGAGCGACCCUCACAAGCAUGUGGCGAUGAGCACAAAUGGCAUGGCAAGCGUGAUUAAUAGUAAUCUAGCUCUCGGUCAUCAUGCUAAAAUAUAGAAUAAAUACAAACGACCCAAAGGUCCAAUAUAGUAUCACAUUGUCAAGGUUUGUCAUUUACUAAUUCAAAUGUCAACUACAUGACGUUCAUGUUUACUAAGCCAAGUAUAAUCAUAGUUCAUAAGCACAUAACACUUUGUCAUUAUGCUAGGCUAGGAUAGUUCACAAAUGCCUCAAUAUCUCAAAUGAGAGUCACUAUAGCUAAGGGAAUCACUUUCUUAUACUAUAUGCAAUAGGUUUUACAAGAUAUUUAUAAUGUCCAAGAGGUAUGUCAUGCAUAAAACUUUCUACCAAUGGCUCACUUCAUGGAGUAAUAACUAUCAUGCAAGCGAUUUCAUACAAUUAAUGCUAUUAUGCAUUAUCCACCUUGCUAUUCGCCCAAGGCGUUCCAAUCAUUAUCCUCUAUGUCUACACAUGAAUAAUAUAUCGAUCCCUAGAUCGAUUGCAAUAUUUACAGAUGCACAUACAGUUGUUCAACUAGAUUAGAUUAUCAAACUUAGUUUCAUAUAGACCGUAUCAUGCACUUAUGUCACAAUGUAAAAUCUAUCUUGUCUACACAAUUUUCUCAAGCAAGCAACUAAUUGCUAAGUCCUUUCAUUUCACAGUCAGAUCAUGAAGUGAUGCUAUCGAUCUCAAAGUCAAUACAUUGUCAUAAAUCAAGCCCUAGGCAUCCUAACUAGAUUAAAUACAAUAUGCUUAGCUUCAUGUUUAGCCUUGUUAUUCACUAGGUCACGUGUCACAUUUCCUUGUCUACACAAUAUAUUGUUCAUCAUGUGAGAUAAUCACUUUGCUAAACCAUUCACUGGAUACCCCCUAAGAGUUAUACCAUCAUUCUGUUAGGUCCUAUGUGUUGGCAGUUUCGUGGGUCGAGUCGAGUCUUGAAGAAGUUCGGAGCGAAAUAUUGAAGAUCGAAGAUCCAAGACUUCGAAGAAUCGGAAAGGACGCAAAACACGUAAAACAUGAAUACACGAUGCGUAGGUAAGCUUUAAAUCUUGUUAUGGUGAUUCAUACUUAAUUAUAGAUCUUAGAAUCAUAUUUUCAAGUUGUAAUGAUUAGAAAGUUUCUAAGAGUUUGUAAAAUCCAAAACAAUGCAUUUUCAGCGAAAAUUGCAUUGCUGUACCGGUACAGCUUUUCUGUCCAGGGUACAGCCAUCAACGUUGCGCAGGAAGUUUGAUGGUUGUUCCGGGUACAAGCUUCAUGCUGUACCAGGUACAGCCUGUUCCGGAACAAGCAACAGCCUAUCCAGGGUACAGAAGCUUCGCAAAGAAAAAUCUUCCGUCAUGGUGUACCCUGGACAACAUUCCUUGUUCCGGUACAAGGUGCUGUUUUUGGAAAAGAAACUUUCUAAUUCGACUCCAAUUGAUUCUAAAGUCUAUAAAUAACUAUAGGGGUUCUCUAAUUAAUUAAGCAUCACGAAAAUACAUAUUUGAGAAAAACCUAGAGGCUCGAUUUCCAUUCAAACCUAUUUUCCACAAAUUAGCCUCUUUAGAUCAAAUCGAGAUAUCGUUUCGCAUACUCAUAUGUCGAUUUGAUCUCCGCUUUGCUUGGAGUUCUAUUCCCUGGUUUUCUACAAUACUCCAAAGGCGAAGGAUCACCUAUUCAUGAUAUUCUUCAUGGUGGCGUCGUGGAUUCGGCGUAUUUGACGGCGGUUCGUGAUUCGGAUCUGGGCUCGGAUUUCGAGUGGCGUCGUGGAUGUCGCGGUGAUGAAGCUCGUGAUUGAAGUGAAGGCGUUCGUGGACUCGCACGUGAGGCGUGGACAACCGGAGGGUAGCGCGAAGAUUCAUAAGAGGUUAAGAGAGUAGAGUCCGUGGAGUCGGUAAUCACUUGUAAUCUUUUCUCUAGUGAAUUUUUUUCGCGUGUUGGUCCCCGUGGGUUUUUCUCCAAGUUGAAGUUUUUCCCACGUAAAUCUCGGUGUGCUUUUUAUUUUCCGCAUUUAUUUUUUAUUGCAUCGAGAUUUGUGGUUUUUGGCCGUUCACUAUAUUCACCCCCUCUAAGGUGAUAGAUACAAUCUAGAUAGAUCCUUGGGCUCCUCAAACUUUCAUUGGUAUCAGAGCGGGAUCUAGAUAUAUUGAUAUCUAAUGGCCGAAGAAGGUAACAUUAAUCGACCACCGCAUCUUCGACGGCAACGAAUUAUGCCUAUUGGAAAGUUCGCAUGAGAGCUUCUUCUAAUCGCAAUCGAUGAGCGGGUAUGGAAAGCUAUUGAAUUCGGAUGGCAAUCCGAUUCUACCGAAGUUGUCGAUGGGCUGCUACCGUCNNNNNNNNNNNNNNNNNNNNNNNNNNNNNNNNNNNNNNNNNNNNNNNNNNNNNNNNNNNNNNNNNNNNNNNNNNNNNNNNNNNNNNNNNNNNNNNNNNNNUGCUUCCAACCAUCCCAGCAGUUAUCAGUAUGGCCGUUGAGAAAAGAAUACACACUUCCAGCUCGAGCCUUUCCUUGUGGGUGGAGCGACCAAACCCAUUUAUCUGGGCCUUCACCAAGCUGCAAGUUAGUAAUUGCAUCAACUAAAUCUUCUCCAACUAAACCUUCAAUGGAGUUAUAACACCAUUCCCCAUUCUCAAUGAUUUGGUUAAUAUGUUGGACUUUCUCCCCAAUAUUAGUCGCAAUGAAAGUCGGCUUUUUGCUGAAGGGUGUAGUGAAAAGCCAAGGGUGUUCAAGAAAAUUGGUAUUCAACCCAUCAGAAAUGGAAAUCUGCAAUCCCAAUUUGAUAGCUUGUACAGUAUAGUUUAGGGCCCGCCAAGCCCAAGAAGUAGUAGUGAGCUUAGGAUUCUUCCAGGGAUCAAGUUCCCCAUAUUUGCCCUUCAUAAUCCUCACCCAAGGCAAAUUGAUAUUGUUCAGGAGCUUCAAAGCAUUACGGGCCAUAAAAGCUUCCCGAGAUUUUCGAAGAUUACGAAAAUUUAGACCACCCUCAGUAAGAGGCUUGGUAAUGUUAUCCCAAGCAAUCAAAUGCAUGCCCUUCUUACCGCCAUGUUUUUCCCACAAAAAUUUUCUAAUAAUUUGGGUAAUUUUGUCAACUACUGAGUCAGGAAUCCAAGAAGCAGUCAUCCAAUAGUUAGGUAUGGCCGUCAAAGUUGCUCUAAUUAAGAUGGCACGCCCCGCUAGGGAGAGUGCAUUUUUUUUCCAGGAAGUUAAUUUGGAUCGAACCCUUUCCACUAGGAAAUUAGAUUGCUCUACCUUAACUCUUUUUCCAGAGAUUUGAGAACCCAGGUACUUAAAAGGCAUCGUCCCCUUGGGAAGAUUUAGCCAUCGAGUAACCAUAUUUUUCAUUCUAGCCGAUAGCCAAUCUGGGAGAUACAAGGCAGACUUAUCCUUGUUCACCCUCUGCCCCGAGAGGCAUUCAUAUUUGUGCAGAAUAGCUUCGAUGCCUCGACAAUUCCGUCUAGAGAUAGCACCGGUAAUAAGUAUAUCAUCGGCAUACAUAAGGUGGCUAAGGUAACUAUUGUCCCCAACUGGAAUUCCAGUAAAACUUCCACAAGAUUGGGCCUCAUUAAGAAGGGAUGUAAGUACCUGGGCAAUCAAGAUAAAGAGGUAAGGUGAGAGGGGGUCCCCUUGCCGCAAACCCCCAGCAGGUUGGAUCCAAUCCGAAGCUUUACCAUUGAUAAUAAAAGCAUACGUAGGAGAAGAAAUACAAGCCAUAAUCCAAUUAACCCAUUUAAUAGGAAAUCUCAUAAGGGAUAGCACAGUAGUCACAGAGUCCCAUCUAACCCGGUCAUAAGCUUUCUCCAUAUCAUAUUUAACAAUCAUCAUCGGGUGGUCUUUUUUAUUAUUCACCAUAGUAUGCGCAAGCUCUUGAGCGGCUAGGAUAUUAUCAGAAAUAUCCCUGCCCGCCACAAAAGCAGCCUGCUCAUACCCAAUAAGCGUAGGUAGCAGGGGUUUCAAUCUAUUAACCAGAAUCUUGGAGAUGAUUUUAUAACACACAUUACACAACGAGAUAGGUCUAAAAUCAGCCACUCUACUAGGGUUCUCUUUUUUCGGCACAAGAGUAAUAUAAGUCUGACCCCAUCCCUUCGGCAAAUUAGCAUGCAGAAAAAAAUGCUUAAUUGCUUUGCAAAGAUCCAAACCAACAAUAUCCCAAUAAUUUUUAAAAAAUUCAGCUUGUAAACCAUCUGGCCCAGGAGCCUUGCCAUUCGGCAUAGACCACAAGGCUUGCUUGAUCUCUAAGUCCUCUAUCGGUUUGAUGAGGACUUCAGCAUUUUCCUGCGAGAUAGCAGGCAAAUCAGGCCAACUGACAGGCAUAGAGUCAGUUCGAGUAUUUGGCAUCCAAAGAGAAAGAUAGAAACGACAGAACUCAUUAGUAAUAUCGACCUGAUUAGUAGCAUGGACCCCAUUAGAACAUUUAAUAAAAUUAAUACGAUUUCGAUGUCUACGAAUACGUGUGGUGUUGUGAAAGAACUUGGUGUUAAGGUCCCCAUUCUGGGCCCAUCUGAUGCGUGCUUUUUGCCACCAUUUGGUAUUAAUCUGUCUAAGCAGCGCAUUGUGCUUAUUGUAUAAGGAAUUUAGCUUCACAAUAUCAUUCUGGGAUAUAGAACUAUUAGCCUCAAGGCUCUCAUAAUAAUUAAUAUCCGCCGCCGUGCUAAUAAGGUUGGUUUCUAGAUUACCAACACCCUCUUUAUUCCAGUUAAGUAAAGCACGACGAAGGUUACACACCCGAUGGGUAAACGAAUGGAGGGGGUUCCCUUUGGCAGCUGACUGCCAGGUUCUUUCGACAACCUUACCACACUCAUCAUACUCAAACCAAAAAGCUUCAAAACGAAAAGGUCGCCGACCUUGGAUCUCAUCCCCCUUCACCAUGAUGAGUAAAGGGGCAUGGUCAGAGGCAGCUCUGACAAGGUGUUUGACUCUGACACCAGGGAAAAGAGAUAUCCAGUCAGGAUUAGCAAAAGCUCUAUCAAGUCUGACCCAAACCCGACUCCUUAUAUCUUGAUUGUUGCACCAAGUGAAAGCAGGGCCUUCAAAACCCAAGUCGAUAAUACCAGAAGUUGAAAUAAAUUCACUAAAAGCUCUAUUUUUGGGAGAAAAAGAGAAGGGUUUACCACCUAAUUUAUCAUCUGGAGAGCAUAUGGCAUUGAAGUCGCCGCAAGUGAGCCAAGGGAGGUUUAAUCCCCCUAUUUUCUCCAACUCUUUCCAUAGCUUACGUUGUUCUGAUAGCUUUACACUACUAUAAACCGAAGACAACACCCAUGUAGGGCCAUUGUCAAUGGUAAUGAUAGCAUGUAAAGCUUGUCUGCUCCUUUGAAUGCAGGUUACCAAACCCGCAUCAUCCCUCCAGGCCAUAAGUAUGCCUCCCGAACGACCCACCGCAUCAAUUGAUUGAAAGCGCCAAUUUCUACCCAUUGCACGAGCAAUCGAUUCAGAUCUAAUUCCUGAAACAUGGGUUUCAAGCAGAAUAAUCAUAGCAACAUUAUAAUUCUUGAUAAAAUUCCUGCAUCUAUUCUUGACAUCCUUCUUUAUCCCUCCAUUAAAAGACUCGGUCACCAAGAUACAAGUACAAAAAAGGUAUUAUAGUUAUACUCUGAUGUGAUCAAAAACAAAAGCGGGGGGAGAGAAAACUCGCCCAUGAUGGCCGAUGAGCCCGCCUCGAGCGGGGCUCUCAAACCUCCCCCCCUCACCCUCUCCGCCGACGGUGAGCUCUCUACCGGAGUACAGAUAUGCCGCCCCACAAAGGACUCGUGGCUGCUAUCGUAUCUGGGAAACGUCCUCAAGCGACAAGGGAGGCCUCAUCCCGAUGAGGUACUUGAUAGGCUUAAAGCAUCCAUACGGACUGUGUAGAGGUUGAUGAAAGCAUCCUUGAAGAGCGCGGGCACAAAUGGAAGUGGCCCUUUUUGGUAAGUUUUCUUAGGUAAGCCUCUCUCUAAACACACUUCGAAAUGCCCUGGCCAAAAUUUGCAAACAAAAAGGCUUUCCAUGUUGACAAUGACUGCAGAGGGCUUUUAUGUCUUCCGUUUUUCUAACGAGCUUGAUAUGUUUUAUGUGCUAACGGAGGUACCGCUGACUAUUAAUGGCAGGCCAUACAUUUAAUUAGAUGGAGGGACAACUUCCAACCAUCUGAUGAUGCCUCUAAAUGUGGCACGGUCUGGAUAACGACUUCAUAACCUCCCAUUUGAAUAUUUGGGAGUGUGAUCUCUAUUACCUAUAGCAGCGUAUUUCGGCGACCGCUCAGGGUGGACGAAACCACUAUUUUUGUGGAUAAGCAGAUAUGCUAGAAUCUGUGUUGAACUUGACCUAAGUAGCCUCUCUAAAAAGGGGGUCUGGUUGGGACGCCGGACCAGCGAAAAUUCGUACUCUGAUUUUAUAUGAAAUUUGCCACUGUUUUGCUAUACAUGUGGAAUAGUUGGACAUAGGGCCGAGCUAUGCCAUUUAUCGGAAGGAAGGAGGAGCCAAGUGGCUGGAGGUAAAGAAAAAAUCUACGAGUACUGAGUCAAGACCCAGUGCAGAAACCCCCAUUUUGGAGGAUGAGGCCUUUGCCCAUGGCUUACAGCUCGUCGAAGACGCCGGAGGGCGCGCCGAGAGAGCUCAACCGGGGUUCAAAACCCAAAUUUCUCAGUCGACCUACCAAAAAGAAAGACCCAGAAUGGUGGAGAGGUGAGCCUGAAUCAACCGGCCAAUGCGGUUUCCUCAAUCAAGUCGGAAACUCCAACGGUAGGGAGUCGACUUCAAAGUGAGGAUCAACAAGACAUAAGGUGUCCAGACAUUAAAUGCCCCUAAGAACUCUAUGGUGAUAACUCAGGGGCAAUAAAUGAUGUGGUACGUUCCCCCUCAAAUGAAAAAGAAACCUGCUUGGGUUUUAAUGACAGUAAUAAUGCACGUGGUAAAGGUGGCUAAAGAUAAAGUAAUCAUGCUCACCUAGAAAAGGGGCUGCCUCAACUCUGUGGCCAGGUAAGAAAUGGCCCCAACUCUUUUUAUUUGUUUGGGGGAUAACCAUGAGGUUCCCAAUCCAAUUAUCUCACAUCCAGAGACAGUGUGGUUUAAUGAGACAAGUUCACAUGGUUCCAAACCGAAAAAUCGAGUUAACCCACCAAUCCGCUAACCCCGCGAGUACUAUUUUUCCAUCUUCUUAUUGGCAGAAUACUAGUUGUGGCCCUCAAACCUUUCUCUACCAUAUGCCAAUAACCAAAUGGGAAAUCCGUGAGGGCUAUAAGCCUAGCCCAUCUCCCAUAAUGGGAGCUGUACAAGAGGUAAGUAAAGCCCUCCUAGUACAAUCGGAGGAAGGAAGAGAGUGAUCUGAAGAGAGGAUGUCGGUAUGGAUGAGGACUACAGCACGGAUUGGUCGUUGGUGCAUCGAUCAAAACGCGAGUACGUCACUUGACCGGACAUAAAAUGAUGAUAGUUCUAUGGAACUUGAUCAGGGGUCUUUCCAAAAGGGUAGAACCUCAGAGCCAUGACUCUUCCCUCUCUUUCUUUUUAUCAUGAUGCAAGAUUGUAAUUUGGAAUUGNNNNNNNNNNNNNNNNNNNNNNNNNCAUAUAUAUACAGUAUAUACACUAUGUAUAUAUAUGUACAUACAUAUAAUUAUAUGUACUAUUACAUAUACAUAUACAUAUAUAGAGUUGAGCUAGAAUACUAUCGUAGCGAACGGGCUCGUUGCCACCUAUUUGUUGUAAUAACUGAGAUUUUUGAUUAUUGAUUAAACCCUUUUGUUUGAUAAUGUUCUUGUGUGUAAUAUAAUUAUAAUGUUACUCGGUCAAAUUUCAGAGAAAACAGAGUUAAAAUGGAGAAGUUACCGACCCGGAAGUUUGACUUAAGUGAAUACGUAACUCCGGUUUUCCGAGAGCCGCGAAGUAGAGUGACUUUCGACGCGUAUCGGACUCCGAAUAAUAGCCUUCCAAUAGCAUCGUUUUCAACCGCUCGACUAUCCUGGACCCAAUGGCCUGACGGAUUGGAAUUGCUGCACGAAUUUCGAGAAAAAGGGGUUUUAAUGAUUUUUACAAUAUAGUUGUCUAUAUGUGUUUUUGUGUGAACCUAGGAGGGAUGGUUUUUGUCUGCAAAUCGGGAACCUUUUCGGGCGAAACGAAAUGUUAGAUUCGAAUGCCUCUGUUCGUGCUGAUCGCGCUGGUGCGAGUCCGAUCGAAAUCGGGCGGACGGAUCUUCGAUCGUUGAAAGUCUGGAAGGGCUGAUUUGAGUAAUCGGAUUAUUGCGAAAAGACCCGAUAUUUUAUGCGUCGAUUUGCGAGUUUUCGAAUCGGAGGACUGUCGUACAUAAAGCACUCGCUGGCAGGGAGCUGGCGUUUAAAAACCGUUCAGCCUUGAAGGGGUUUUCCGCAAAAGUCGCAGCAACCUAUAUAUAGGUUGACCUAGGUUUUCUUGAGCUACGCCUAACCCUAGAACCCCCCAGCUGACCCCAGCCGCCCCUGUCACCAGCACCUCCUGCCCUGCCGUGCUCACUUCGGCCGCCGCGAGCAGCCCGGCCGCCGGAAACCGCCUGCAGCCAGCCUUCCUACCUCUCCUCGGCCACCUCCCUCAUCAUCUAGCCGAGGCAUGUGGGUGGGUCCUCCACCGCUCUAGAAGCGAGCCCUCGGCCUCCUUUCCACCUCAGGCAUGCUCUUCCCCUAGCUCCGGCCAUCCCCCGACGUCGCCGGAGCCGCCGGAUGGAAGCUCGCGGCCAGCCCUGGUCAGCCCAGAGCGAGCCAGGCCGAGCCGCGGAGUUGCGGCGCUGCCACCCCCUCUUCUUUGGCCGCGCGCGCCUUCCAUCUGGCCCGUCGACAUCCGGCGUGCAUCCCCGCUCGUCCACUGCUCGCCGCCGGUGCCGCUGGCUUCCCCGCCACCCAGUUUUUGUGCGGGCCGACCUUGGAGCCGCGCCGCCCCCGGCGUCGCCGUUGCCCUCGAGGUGAGCAUCACCUUCCCUCGGCCUCCGACACGAAUCAUCGCCGUCCCGAGCUCCCCCGGCGCCGCCUCGCGCCGGCAGCUCCCGAACCCAGAGGAUGGGCCGAGUGGUCUCCGGCCGCACGCCAAUCGCUGCCCGCCCGCCGCCGGCACGCACGCUCCCCCGGACUUCUGCCGACGCGCUGCUCCAUCUCUAGCCGGAGCGCGCCGCGCCCAGAUCGGCGCGGCCAUCCCUAGCUCCGCACUGCUCGCGUGAGUAGUCCAUUUACUUGGUUCCAAGCACACAGUUUUGUGCUCUCGGUCACUGUUUUCGGUGAUCCGAUGACUUCCCCUUGGCCUCGGGGAGGUGAGCACGAUUGAUCGUGGGCUCGUGCUGUGACCACGAUGCUCACCUCCAUUUAGUGUUAACUGCGUGCCCCUGGUUACGUGAGUAAUGUGCUAUUCUUGCGCGCUGUGCGCGCUGUUCGCUGUUGUUACGCGUCGUCGUGCGCGCGUAGUUCUGCCGGCAGUGCUCCGAAAGGUAGCACGCCCAGGCAUGGCUGAGCCUAGCCAAAGCUUGAUGGUAUCCUCCAGUAGAUUCCCUUGGUUUGCUGGUACGACCCAGUUUAGGAGCAUGAAAUCACAUCAAAAUAAUGUGAUUUCAUGUGCCGUUACGGUAUUCUUUGUUCGGAGUGCGUUUUCGCUUCGUCGUGGUGCUGUCGCAAGUUAGGCUCUCGCAAUCGGACUGAUGCCAAGCCUCCAAGCCCUUCGAAAUCAAUCGCCAUCGGAGGCUUGCGGCCGAAAUCCGGCGCAUAAACGCGUUUCGACCUCGAGUCCUCCACUCCCGACGGUGGCCUCGUGGUUGAUUGUUAGCGUCGCUGAGCCCUUGUGGCUGGUCACCCGCGUCUUCUCGACGGUUCGGACAACGAUCGGUGACGACGGUGGAGUUUCGGUUCGAUUUCCGGGACUUCGGCUGGUUCGGUAGGUUGACGUUUGCAGAAACGAUUUCGACGGGGUUAUGAUUUGGAUUUUGUGUGACGAAUUGGUCGUGUUAUUGGUGUUUUUGGGUUAGAGCUCUAACAAGGAUGGACCCUUCGUAGGUCGGUCGUUGUCUUCCGCCUUCGGCCGAGAACGUUUCAAAGCUUUAUGAGUGGGUACUUCGAUCGACGACGUACGGUACAGUGGUGCACGGCUUGGUGAUGGUUUCUUACCCUUACUCUUUCUGUUUACUAUCCAUGAUUAUAUUGAGCCUUGCCACCCUUGGUUUAUUCGUUUAAACAGUACCCUGUUCUCGUACUCCUUUGUAUUCCAGGAGUUAGGAGCCCAUUAGAGCAGUAUCUCUUUAUAGCAUUAACUUGUUGAUCUAGUGGUUGCGUUGGUUGCUUUGUAUCUGUUGACCCCCCCCCCAUGUUGGUCUGUAUGUUGCAUUCAUUAUCCGAUUGCCUAGUUGCGUUUGUUGUUUUGCAUCAGUAUUGUUGACCUGGUUGGUUGGUUCUCGUACUUCGUUCGAUGACCUUGAGGUCGGAUAUACCUAAGGGGUGGGAUUGUCUGAGCUAACGCCGACGAUUAUUAUAGUUACUCAGUUGCUAUUACUUUUGGUUAUGUUAUGACGCUAGUAGUCAGCUUCCAUGAGUCCCGUCGGUCGAUGACCUCUUGGCGCGUCGGUGUACCCUAAGGGUGGAUUGUCGGCUGGUGCUGACCGGUAUGUUCUGGAUAUAUCGAGAUACCUCCUGUGACCUAUCGGUCGACUAUAUACAUAUACAUAUGUAUAUAUGUAUAUAUACAUAUAUACAUAUACAUAUGUAUAUAUGUAUAUAUACAUAUAUACAUAUACAUAUGUAUAUAUACAUAUAUAUACAUAUAUAUGUAUACAUAUGUAUACAUACAUAUAUAUAUAUAUAUAUGUAUAUAUAUAUAUAUGUAUAUGUAUAUGUAUAUGUAUAUGUAUAUGUAUAUAUGUAUGUAUAUAUAUAUGUAUAUGUAUAUGUAUAUAUGUAUAUGUAUAUAUAUAUAUGUAUAUAUGUAUAUGUAUAUAUAUAUGUAUAUAUGUAUAUGUAUAUAUAUAUGUAUAUAUGUAUAUGUAUAUGUAUAUAUAUAUAUAUAUGUAUAUGUAUAUAUAUGUAUAUGCGUGUGUGUGUGUGUGUAGAUAGGGUUGACCCCCUCACCCCUUCUUGGGUUGAAGCUGUCGCCGCCAAUGGCGCCACUGCUGCAGUACCCAAGCCUGAGACCCUCCAACGCUGCCUCCACCUUCGGCCAUGCUCCCUAGGCAGUGAUCCCAGCAGAGCCCCCAUCCUUAUCUUCUUCUUCUUCAUGUUGAGCUACCAACGCCGCCACAGCCGAUGUCCCCGAGGGUCGAGGGAUCUUCGGCGACCUCCCCUAUGUUGACUUGUAGCCCCAUCUACCUCCCUCGGCUUCCCCUUUUGGUACGAAUUGCUGUUGUCCCUGCAUCUGCUGUUGACUGUGGGUGGCCGAGCUUGGUCCUUUGGCCAUCGCCACCGCUGACCAACGCGAGCCCGGGUUCCUCUUCUCUCUGGUCAACCUCCCCCAACUCCUUUUUUGGGCAAGCUACCUCCUCUAGUUACUGUCGAUGGUGGUGCUGCUCUAGGCUAUCUCCGUGGGCGUUAUUUUGUUCGAAGUCUUUAUUUUGACCAUCCGGCGUCUCCGGCGACUAUCUGCUGGUGAGCACGGCACACCUAGGCAUCGAUGCUGGUCCGUGCUCCCCUAAGUUUCAGGUAAUGGUACCCGAAUCCCUAUUUUCAACAGUGCUCGCCCGGUGUUCGAUUAAUUGACUAAUUCUUCUUUCGACUUUUUUGGUCAAUUCGGUGGUCAAAAAAUGGAGUUCUUGGGAGCAUGGUGAUUGUGGGGAAUCCCUCUACACUGUACUCAUAUUGUUAGUGCGGAUCAGACGACUGGUAGAAUCGCGAGCCCAUCGUGUACCCGAAAUUAGCUCCGCGUCGCCAAUUUUUUCUCUCCGACGGUUGGCGAUCAUUUGGGUGAAUACUUUGUGGGUUCGCUGCAGCCAAAGAAGUGUCGACAAUCCCCAUGAACUGCUGGUCCAUUUCAAAUUGUGGAAGUUUUGUAAAUUGUACAAAAUCUCCUUUUCAUUUGCUUUAAUUGAAAUUAUGUGCAAUUACACUAUGUAUUCGGCUUCUCGAUGCUUUUCGCGUCGUGACAAGUGUUGGACAGUGGUGUUUAGCUUUGUGUGAUGUUCGAACUUAUUAUCUGAGGUUUGGAAACAUUUCAUGGCCAAUUUGGUGCGGAAUGACACAAAAUCGAGCCGAAAUCAGAUCGAUUGUGUGGUUUUCGAUUUCGCUAUCACGAAGUUGAUGUUGUUGCUAUCCGGAUUUGUUGUCGAGCCUUAUUGGCUAGUCUAGCCUAAUGUUUUGCACCCCUUGUGGCAGCGAGCGCCUCGUGGGUGGUCCGGAUAUCGAAAUAGGUAUCGCGAGGCCUAUUUUUGACUCACUUUCUGGAAUGGUAGCUCCCGCUAAUGCAUGUUUAUAUGUGGCUAUCCCUAAAACCUAACAGCGGGUGUGAUUUGGAGGUAUUAGGUGUGACUCAUGAGACUUCGUGAGGUGUAGUGGCAACUCGGUUAGUUUAUGCGGAUUUCGACAAAUUCAGGAGAUCGGUAAAAGUGUUUGAUGUUCCGAUUGUGCCGUGUGUUGCGGAUGACGUAUAUCACUAAUUAGUGAUGUUGCAGUGUUGUGAGGGCCUUAGGGCUUAUUACACAAUGCAUGUGUGGUCCGAUAUCAAAGUGGUUUUUGGAUCAUCAAAAUGGUAUCUAUAGAUUUCGUCGUGGUAUUAUUCAGCAAUCGUCAUCUACUUGUCGAGCACUUGGUGUGCGGUUAUCCCAACGCCUAAAGUAGUGCGUCUUGGGAGUGUUGAACUGUUGUUAUGACUCUCUACGGAGUCAGCUAUUGGUUGGGCCUGGAUUCGUGAGCUGGUUUAUAGAAUUAUUGUUCCGGUCGCGUCGUGUCAUACACGAGUGUUGUUGAGUUUGUCAGUGGAUGUAGAAGACGCGUAGGAUGCUCUUUGUGGCUUUUGGUGAUUGUAUCUUCUGUAUAGGUGACGGUUAGAUACAUUGGUUGAGUCGAGAACUCGGAUACUUGGUGAGGUGGGUGCUCCAUUCCGAAGUCGGCAAAGUUGUAUCUUACUCGGUUUCCCCCUUAUUUGAUAUAUUUUAUAUUAGUUGAGUAGGACAACUUCUCUUGACUUCAUAUUAGUACAUGCUUUCACUCUACAUGCAUGUUGCUUGUUAUGUUGAUUAUCGUAUUGAUUCGCAGUCCCUUGAUUGAGCUCUCUCCUAUAGCUCGUCUGUGACAUAUAAAGUAGGUGGUGAUCUGGUGGAAUAUUCAACUAUUUAUGAUUGGAUCUGAUAGGUCAGUGUUUACUCAUCGUUGAGUUAUGACCAUGUUAGUCGAUCAUUAUAUCUUAUGUGAGAUCAACUAAGCUGAUCGGCGUUUACCUCCUCAGAUUUGACCUUCGGGUUUGGAUGAGUUGCCUUAUCAUGAUUGGGUUUCAGCAUGCUUCACCUUAAUUAUCUGCAUUAAUGUCACCUUUCUACGUACCCGUGUAGUGUAGCAUGCUAGUUGACCUAGAGAGUAUAGAUCUUAGCAUCUUCGUUGACAUCUAUUGAAACUACCUCUUGGCUCCUUCUGUCACCUACGAGCAGUGAGUUUGACUGUUAAGUCUAAAUCAGUGGAGCUUUGAGUAUAUACAUAUGACUAUACCUUGUACAACACUGGGGGAGCCUUAGACAUUCUUCAGUUGACAGCCUAAUGGGAGGUGAUGUUUCAUUGAUAGGUUUCGCCACCUUGAGUUCUCACCCCCAGAUUUGAUAUACACUGUGCUUAGACAAAGUUAACGACUCUCGGUGUUGGUGAUUGUGUCCCUCCAGAGUAGUACUUGAUUUUUUAUCUUCGCAACCUAAUGGGCGAGCUUAGGCGGGGUCUUGAUGACCGGUCACAGUGAUUGGGUAUACUUGGGACUACUCGCACGUCCAAUUGAUGUAUAGUAUCUCUAUUUAAGUUGUGCAUGGUAUCUGGUAGCUGUCUAGCCACUACAACAAAAACGGUCUAUAGCGACACUUUUAAAUGUAGGUACAUGUCAAAAAAGUGCUGCUAGCUAAAAUUACCGACACUUUUAAAAAGUGUUGCUAUAUGUAGGGUCGCUAGGUGUAAGGACUGAGAUUUUUGCAGUGUAGCUAAACUCUCAGUUGACGAUGUUUUUGUGUGUAAUUGAAUUACAAAAGCACUCGUCAAGUUUCGGGCGAAAACGAGUUAAAACGGAAAUUCUACGCGAUUUCCAAGUUUCACUUAAAGUGAAUAGUAACUCGAUUUUCCGGAGAAGCCACGGUGUGAAGUUGGCUUCAGGCUCGUAUCGGACUCNUACAAAAGUACGGCCAAAUAGAAAAGAUGCAAUGAAUGGAAGCUAAAACAUAAUAGAUAAUUCAUUUGUUGAUGAACAAUGCAUAAAAUACUUAAUUUAGCAAAUUAAUUCACAGGUCAUCCAUAAUUUUCAAUGGUUUUUUUGUCAAAAUUCAUAUAUAACAGUAGCGAACAACACAGAAAUAGUGGAGCAACAAAUAAUUCGUGAAAAAUCUCUAAAAUUUCUAAAAAAAAGAAAAUAUAAAAUCGGAGAACACAGUGACUAUGCCUUAGACUUGGUGGGGAACGAGAACAAGGCGAGGUCGAGGGCGAAGGGAGGAGCCCAGGAUUUGGGUGGUACGAUGCGGCAGAUCCCGAAGGGCUCAGCGAGGGGCCGGAUCUGGUCUAUGUAGGCGAGCGGGUCCACGAACUCCUCCUCCGUGGGGUAGAACACGGGAGCGUGGGGGAUGCCGACGCCGCCGCCGCCGCCGUCGCCGCCGCCGUAGGAGGCGGCGGCGGCGGAGGAGGAGGCGGCGGCGGCGGAUGAAGGGUCGGAGAGGUGGGCGGCGCCGCCCUUCACGACGUCGCGGGGGCGACCCUUCGCCAUCUAGGGUUUCGGUUUGCGUUGGCGCGGGGGGGAAGAAGCUCGGGUAGUUGGAGGAGGAGAACGAUAGAGUGGAUUUUAGUGGAGGAGAAUGAUGCGUCACGUGAGAGACUAUAUGGGUCGAGGUGGAAGGGGUUCGUGGAGAUGGUGAUCGGAGAGGGGAGAACGGGAGAUAGCUCGUGACUCAGUUUUUUUUUUUUUUUUAAGUAAUUGGGCCGGGUGGGGUGGGGUGGUGGAGCAGGAUAAUUUUUUUGUAGGGCUAGAUUGGGCUUCAUAUUUGGGCCUUGAUUAUUUUUUUUUAAAAAAAAAUUGGAUAUAUAGGACACUUGUAUAAAAGUGUCCCUAAAAUGUGUCACUAUAACCUAGUUUUGUUGUAGUGUAACUCGAUUUUUCGGAGAAGCCACGGUGUGAAGUUGGCUUCAGGCUCGUAUCGGACUCCGUUCCUAGCGGUCCAAUAGCUCGUUUCAACCGGUUCAGCUGUUCUGGAACUAAUGGCGCUGACGGAUUUUGAGUUCGAUGCACGGAUUUCGAGAAAAUCCAAAAAUACAUAUUCUAUAUGUAUUUAGGUGUGUUUUCUUCUGUUGAAAGGAAGGUUGGAUUUUGUCGUGAAUCCGUGGUCGAUCGAGACGAAACGAAAUCGUAGCUUUGUUGUCUCCCUCGUGCUGAUCGCACUGGUGCGAUCCGUUCGCAAAUCUGACGGACGGAUCUGCGGAGAUCACGCAUUGAUCGAGGAGAGGUCGGUAGUGGCAAAACGAUAUUUUCGCAAAAGUCGCGAUAUUUUAUGUAUCGUUUCGCGUGAGAUCGCACGUGGAGGGGUAUUCGUGCAUUUUAGUCAUGCUGUGAGGGACUCGGUAUGAAUUACCGGUGUUUGGUGGACCUUUUUGCAAGUUGCACCUUGUAUAUAUAAGCUCUUUAGGGUUUUGUUUCACCUAACCCUAACCUAGCCCUAGCCAACCACCCAGCCGCCUCCCUCUCCUUCCCCUGCACCUGCUGCGCGCGCCCAGGCCGCCGCCGACCGAGCCCCGGCCGGCCAACCACCGCGGCAGCCACCACUUUCCUCCCUCGCCCUCUCUUUCUCUCUCCCUCUCUCCUCUCGGGUUGUGUGGAGGCUCGGGGCUGCGCCACCUUUAGACCCUCCCCCAGGGUCGCCCCGUGCUCCGGCACCCCUUCCCGCCGGUCGCCGUCGCCGCCUCGGCCAGUUGCAGCCGCCCCAGCCCGAGCCCAGGCCGAGAGUUUGUUGCGACCUCUUUCCCGCGUCGCCGCCAUCUUGGGCCACCCCGAGGCACUUCUCCGGCCUACUGCAACCCGCCGCCGACGUCCCCGACCUACCCCAGCCGCCGCCAUGGCCGCAGCUUCCUUGGAACCCGAGCCCGAGCUCGUGUGGGCUGAGCUUGCUCCGCCGCUGCCACCGCCGCUUCUCGUCUCCAACGGAGGUGAGCUUCGUGNCACGUCUUUGUCAUGAUUAAUGUGAGUGGCCUCGUUCCGAAUGUGUUGAACCGGCCGCCGCCGGCCUGCCGCCCGCAUAGCCUUCGUCCGCCCAUGGCCGCUACCUCCCUACGGUCCCGCGUGCAGCCGGCCGCAGUCCUCCGCCGCCGUCGCUGCCCGUAACUACGGGAUCGGCGUGCUUUACCACCCCUCUAGCCGGCUGCCCCUCGGCCGCCGUCUGCUUACGCCGGUCGGACCCUCACGGCCGCGAGUGCGAUUGACCACCGUCUUCCGCCGCUACCGAGCGUCGAGUCCGCGCCGGUGGGCUCGAGCCGAGUCGUCUCCCAGCGCGCCGCCGCGGGUUCCGCACGCCGCCGCUGCCGCCGGUUAGACCGUCCUGCGCCCCCACGGAAGCCAGUACUCCCUCCAGCCGCUACACAAGGGACAGUCGCCGCUGCGCCCCCUCCGCUACGCCGGUAAGGAGACAGGUAUGACCUCACCCGACGGGGUCUCAAGUGCGCGCCACCAGCCGCCGCGGGCCCCUGCUGCCCCUCCCCGCGGCCUCCAGAGGCCUCUACGGUCCUCUUGCCGCACCGGCCGCCCUUCGUCGCCGCCACGCUCCUCCGUCCCUAGUGGGUCCGAGCCGGACCCACUGACAAUCGGCGUCCUUCGAUCUCGCCGAGGCCGCCGCGUACCCCUGCCAUCUCCGGCCGCCGCUACCACGGCUCUACCCGGAGCCGGUGUCCUUCUUCGAAUCAGUGCUCAACCACGGUAGACUCGAGUUCUCAACUCCUUCCACCACCGAUCCACCUCUCCUACCACCUCCUCUCCGGCUAGAUCCAAAAGCCACCGGCCCCUGCGAGCGGCCGCUGGCCCCGUACGCGUGACCCACCUGUCCCCCUCGAUUCAGUUGAUCCUGACGAUUCCAAUCGGCUCCCUACCUAAUCCCAAUCCCAAAGUGUACCCUUUGGGAUUUCCAUGAUAUAUAUGUAGUUCCAAAUUAACGGCGAAUCAGAAGGCUUCUGUUUAUAAAAAUUGGGCCAGGGACGGGCACGCACAUUAUACGCUCAUGCGUGGGGCUGCAAGCUUUAGAACGCUUUGUCGUGUAUUUUACAAUCUAGAAAAGCGCUAAAGAGGUAAAACGAUUAAAACUGGAGAUUCACUUUUGAUACGUUUAUGACCUCUAGGCAGACAGCUAAAAGCUAAGCUGACGUGGUAGCGUAAGUCGUGCAGCCCCCGUAGUUUUGAUGUUAGAACAAAGUAGUCUAAACCGGUGUCUAAGCGCUGCCUUGGGUAGACGAGAGAUUGAUUAGGUAUAUAGUGUGUAUAUGGUUACACAUUUGAUUAAUUUGGUUCAAAGCGUAAACUUUAGCUGAAGGGAUACAGUACGGGGCCCUGGCCGCCUCCGGGAGGGCCAUCGCACGGGUCUGGGCGGUAUACAGAUGUGUAUAUUCCGCAGAUGUGAUUUUCGCCUUCAUUUUCGUCCUCUAUCUUGUUUAUUUUCAUCGCUUUAUUGAUCGUUGAUGACUAUAGUCUCGUUCAUCUCAAGAUAGUAGAUGUGGUUUCAUUUCUUUUAUUUCGAUCAGUUUGUUUCUAUUGGUAUUCAUCAUGUUAUUGGCAGAGAUCAUGUUUUUACCGCCAGAGAUAUGUAUAUGCCCAUGUUGAGAGUUGGAGAGUGUUUUUCUUUUGUGCUCUCCAUCUGGUGGAUAGCUUGCUAGGGAGCCAUUCGUGCGAUCGGGCUCCGCUAUGGGAAAGGCGCUAGGGACCGGAGAGGGACGCACCUUCCGAGACUUUUUGUAGCUCUUUUUCUCCCGCACUCUUGAUAUUAAAUAUCAAGGGUCACCCGUUAAUGACUGGAGUCGAGAACUGUUUAAGGUUCGGAUCGCGGUUUCGGCGAUCCGAAGGCACCCCGAUGAUGAAGAAAGUGAGCACGAUCAUCCUCUUUCUGUGCUGAACAUCAUGCUCACCUUCGUUUAGGUCUGAGAUUCCCUGGUUAGCGAGUUCAACGCGAUUUAUACCCUGUGCGCGCUGUUUCGCUAACUUUCGCGUCGCUCAUGCAGGUGCCACAGUAGCCGGAAGUGCUCCGAAAGGGGAGCACGGCCUCCAGCACCCCGAGACCUAUCAACGGGUGUCUCGGUUCAGCUAAAUAACCCUCAGGUCGCGCUAGUGAGUCAUAAAAGCCCCGAAAUCACAUAAAUAAUGUGAUUUUGGAUAAUCGGGUGGGCUUUUAUGCAUUUUCGUUCGUCGUGGCUAUUGUUGGCAGCAUGUGCGGGCAGUGGAUAACCUAUGGACUGAUUGUCCAAGGCCCCAAGCCCUUAUGGAAAUCGAAAAGUGAUUUCCGGCACAUUUCUCGGCGAAAUCCGCCGACGGAACGUGGGUUCGGUUCGGAAUUCUUCCGACGGUGCUUCGUGAUGAUUAUUUAUGUAUAGUGGUAGCGAGUGACUCAUAGCACGAGUCGGUGUGUUCCGGGACAGUUCAUGGAUCCCGGCGGUGUCCCGGUGCGAUUUUCGGGACUUCCGACGAGUUACGGUAGUCGUUUUUGGGAAACCGAUCUCCGUGGCAUUAGUUUGUGGGAUGUGGAGUCAGUGGUUAUUAGUGGUAGGUUAUACACUAACUCGGUGGACCUUCCUUAGGUCCGGUUGAUAUUCUUUUUGCAGUCAGGAGACAGACGCGACAUCCUUACAGGUGGGUACUUCGACCCGACGUCGGUACAGUGGUGCACGCUCGGUGAUGGUUUCUUACCUUUAUUCUCUCGUUAUUAUCUGGCAUAUAUAUAUAUCUUGCUAUAUAGUGUUGAGCCUAGCACCAUGUUGUUUCAGUUAUGCUCUACUCGGUUAUUUUCGUUAUAUCUAGUAUCAUGAGUAGGAGUAGAGUAGUUAUUCCAUGUUUCUUUGUUACUCUAUUUAGCUGUUCUGCAUAUCCGGUAUCAUGUUUAGAGUAGAGCAUCUUCGUGACUUUCAUUGUUUGAUGACCGUUGAGGUCGGUAUAUCCUGAGGAGUGAGAUUGUCGGUUAAUGGCCGACGGAUGAUUAUAGUUUUCACAGAUCUGUCAUUUGACCCUUUGUGACCUAGUCUGUCAGUUCUGGAUUCUUGUCGUUUGAUGACCCACGAGGUCAGUGUACCCUGAGGGGUAGGAUUGUCAGCUAGUGGCUGACGGCAGUUCCAGAUUAUAGUGAUACAUUCCUGUGACUUAUUGGUUGAUUCCUGCAUCUAUACUUUAGUUGAUCCAUCGAGCAGUAUUUCCAUACUUUUGAGAGGAUGUUGAGUCGAUUCGUUGUGCAUAUAUCCUAGUUGACCUGAGUGGUCAGUCCUUGUGGUUCAUUGAGCAGUACUUGCAUAUGUUUGAGAGGAUGUCGAUGUUGUCCCAUCCUAGUUGACCUGAGUGGUUGGUUCUUGUGCUUUCUUACAGUUGGAUGACCUUUUGGUCGGUUAGCCCCGAGGGGCGGUGAUUGUCGGCUGAUUGCCGACAGUUGGCUAUUGAUCAUAUCUGCAUUGAUCGCCACAGCUCGAGUGCAUUUCACGUACACCAGCGGGUUGAUCCCCCGCAGGAGGGUGUUCUGUUCCGGAAAAGUGGUCGUACAUCCGACCCGUGAGCCCAGCGGUGUUGUCUUUGUGCUAGGGUUACAUGCCAGGUGUGAGCAGGUAGUGGCUUUUGCCUGAGGUCCUUAGUCCGACACGGCGGUUUAGAUUGGGUACUUUUGGACUUCUCGUCCAGUUGACGCAUAUAGCUAUAGUAGCGGUUGUUGUAUAUAUACUUCUAGUUCUUUCUUUACAGUUGUCUUACUACUAUAGUUUUGAUAUCCUUGUAUACUUGCAGUUGUACAUUAUAGUAGCGGUAGUUGUGCUUUCAUAUAUAUAUCUCAUUCGUUCAUUAUCGUUGCUACUGUAUUNAUGUUGUGAGCUGGUUGAAUUUGUGGAUUUGUGGAAUUGUGGAUUUGGUUUAUGGAUCUUCAGUUUUGGGAUGUUUGUAUACUUUGUGGUUCGCGGAUUUGUAUUUAUGGAUUUACGCAUCGUGGUUUUCUACCCCUCGAGGUAGUCAGUUUUUAAAAUAGAGUUUCCGUGUGGAAAACAGUUUUCAAAAGAUUUUUGAAUGAUUUUCAUGUAUGAAUGAAUUAGAUUUUAAAAACAAAAGCUUCCGUGUGGGGAGCACUUUUAAAUAGGAUGAUUGUUGUACUGUGUAUUGCAUCAUCCAGCGUCUAAGGAGUGUUUAGAGGCAUGCAUCAUCUCUAAGGAUUGUUAGCUGUAUGAAAAUGCAUAUCAUGAAUUGGUUGCUGAUUGAAAAAUGUAGGUUGUGGUUGUGAUCCUGUUGUAUCCGUUGGUACGCCGUGCAAAUACAAAGGAGACUCUGUCCGAGUGAACAGAUGAACUUUGUAUUUGUGGCGGGUCUGUACGUCACGUGGGCCAGGUUGGAAAAAAAAAAAAAAAUGGCACAUCUUCCGCGACUCUCAGAUUUCAAAAUGGUAAUGGCUUUUAAGAUCGGCCCCAGGGCGUGACACUAGGUAUAUAGUGACAGUUAAAGAGUGCCGCUAUAACCUAAAAGAGUACUGCUAAUUUUCCAACACUUAUUUAAGCAUUUAGCAACCGCCGAAACUCUAUCUCGUUGGCUGCGGUGGCGGAAGAGGACGACAGUAAAGGCUCUUCGUUUAAAAUUUCAGUGGAUUGAGUGAAGAGUGAAGAAAAGAUGGUAAUUGAUUUUUCUUUUUUUUUUUUCUUUUCUGUUUGUAAUCGGGCCAAAUUGACUCGGUGUGGUGGGUUGAGUAGAGUAAUCUUUUAUUUUUGGUUGGAUUGGGCUUUAUAUUUAGACAUUAGUAGAUGUGUUUUUAAGUUUUAGCAUAAAUGGGACACUUACUCAAAAGUGUCCCAAAUAUGUGUCCCUAUAACCUAAUUCUGUUGUAGUGAGCUUACAGUAGCAGCAUCCCUCGUUUAGUAGUUUAUGAUAUUUUGUUAUUCAUCAUUUUGCUACUGUAGUUGGUGGUCCUAUUAUCUUGGGAUAUAACUUUGUUUACAAUAGCGGCAUUACCUUGUGUUCCACUAUGUGAGAUUUAUCUAUGUGUUUUGCUACUGUAGUUGAUUAUCUUUUAUUUGCAGUUACCUUAUUUAUCGUACUCCUUUUGUUUACCGAUGAGUGUGGCUUGCCCUUGUCGACUGGUUGCCCCCAUUAGGAAAUAUAUUUAUAUGUAGACAGUGCGGGUCGAGACACGGUGUGACAAUGCGGUUAGUUAGCGCCUAGACAGCUCGUGCUAUGGAUCUUAUUGUAGUCUCGAAUUUACUCUCUUUACCAUUUGAUAUUGUGGAUAUGUCCGUAUUUCAAUAUUAUGAUUUGAGUUUAGUUGAGAUGUUGGAGUUUUCCUAUUGUAGUAGUUUAGUGGAUUCUGAAUUAUGAUUUUGGAUUGAUUAGUAUUAUGAUUUCUGAAUAAUGAAACUAUUUUGUUAUAAUUACUUGUGGUUACUUAUUUGUGUUCCUGCGUCAUGCAUGUACAAGGAAGACUCUGUCUGCAUGGAUAGGGGACACCAUGUACAUGUAGCAGGUCUGUGCAUGUCUGGGCAAGGUUUACAAAAAAAAAAAAAAUUAUGCUUGUCCACAACUCUAUUUUCAAAUUAGAAAAAUUCUUCAAAAUUAGCUUUCAAAAAAAGACCCAGGCCGUGACAUAGAUUUCAGCAAAGCAACCAACAAAAGUGAAAGAACCUCAAUUUCUACUUAGUAACUUUCACCAAAACAAAAAAUUAGACGGGAGUUUGACUUAGAGAAAUUUAAAUAUCACUGCAUUUCUUAAGUUCCACCAGCAUUUAAGUUCCGUGGUUCCAAAUAUGCCAUAAGGUGGAACUUGUUGGCGUACCACCAAAAUGAAUGUACAUUCUAUGCAUGCAUUGCAAAAGAGCAUAUAUAUAUAUAUAUAUAUAUAGAGAGAGAGAGAGAGAGAGAGAGAGAGAGAGAGAGAGAGAGAGUUGAGCUAGAAUACUAUUAAUAGCAAAAAGUUUUUUUUGCUAUCAAAUUUUUAGCCUUUGGAUUAAUUUCUUUCAUCAUUUUUAACCAUUGAAUUAAAUAUUAUAACCUAGUGAGGACCGCUCAAUCCUAAGGGACUAAUAUCAUCUUAACCCUACAAUUUCUCAUCCAAGUUUUAAAAACUUGAUAGCAAAAAGAAUCUUUUGCUAUCAAUAGUAUUUCAGCCUAAUUCUAUAUAUAUAUAUAUAGAGCAGGGCUGCUGUGCUCUCAGGAGCACGGAGGCCUCCGUGCUCCUGAGCCGUUUUCGAUGAUGGAAUUUUCGAAUCGACGAUCGGCUCCGUUAGACUUGAUCUAGCGCAUUUGAAGUUUCUGGAAAAUAAUUUUUGCGAUUUUUCGAUAUCAUUUACAUAGUGAUCGAAAGGAUUCAAAAUCUAUAAUUUUUAAUGGUUGAUAUCUGCCGUUUUCAAGUUUAACGGUGUAGAAGUAUUCAAAUCAAAUGAAAUUUUGAUAGAAAAUUAUUUAUACUAGCUACAACAAGAUCUAUAUUUCUGAUCGAAAAUUUUAGUGCUAUAUCACCACUUUUAAUAGGAUUUUUAUUUUCAGCCGUUAAAAAUUAUUGAUUUUGAAUCCUUUCGAUUGCUAGGUAAAUGAUAUCGAAAAAUCGCAAAAAUUAUUUUCUAGAAACUUUAAAUACGCUAGAUCAAGUUUAACGGAGCCGAUCGUCGAUUCGAAAACUCCAUCAUCGAAAACGGCUCAGGAGCACNACGGAGGCCUCCGUGCUCCUGAGAGCACAACAGCCCUGCUCUAUAUAUAUAUAUACUAAAUUACAGAAAACAUUCCUACUAAAUUACAGAAAACAUUCCUGUCAAUACCCGUUUUUCACUUUUCCUCUUGUCAUUCAAAAACCUACACUUUGCCCUUUUGAAAAAUAAAAAAUAUUCACAGGGAGAUACAUCGUGACAAAAUAACCAAAUAAAAUGUUCACAGGGAGAUACACCGUGACAAAAUAACCAAAUUGUCCCUGAUCUUCUUCGGGCUAGUCGUGGAUGAGGAGGCGAGGGCGAGAGCGAGGGCGAGGGUGAGGCGACGGCGGCGAGCGAGGAUGUGCGUGUGGGCAUGGACAAGGGUGCGCGAGGGCGAGGCGGCAAAGAGCAAGACAGCUUGGCGAAGGUCAGUGAGAAAAGAUGAGGGUUCCAAGGACAUUUUAGAUAUAAAAAAAUGGAUAUAAACAGACCCUACCGAAACACUGACGACGAUGGGCCAAAGUGUACAUUUUUUAUUUUUUAAAAGAGCAAAGUAUAGAUUUUUGAAUGACAAGGAAGGAAAAGUGAAAAAGCGGGUGUUGACAAAUAGAUUUUCUAUAAUUUAGCAAUAUAUAUAUAUAUAUAUAUAUAUAUAUAUAUAUAUAUAUAUAUAUAUUAGGGCUACUAUCCUAUUAAUAGGAUAGUAGCACUUGUUCUAUCAAGUUGUUCUUGAUGAUAGAGAUUCCGAAUCGAUGAUCGGAGCCGUUGAAGUUGAUCUAGAGUAUUUGAAAUAUCUAGAAACUAAAUUUCAUAAAUUUUAAAAAUUAUUUACAUGGUGAUCAAAGUGUCGAAAAAUCGAUAAUUUUUGACGGCAUAUAUGAGCCGUUUGCUUGUUUAACGGUGUAGAGUAAUCCAAAUUACUUGAAUUUUUGAUAGAAAAUUCUUUAUACUAUUUAGUAUGUUUGAUAACUCUGAUUAUGAAUUGAGAAAGUCUAAACCUCUAUUUUAGAAGUUAUUCAUUCUAUGACGCGUUCAUUUUUCAACUCUUAAGAUGAACUUGAUAAUGAUUUUUAAAUAUUACAAAAUUUGGUUUCUAAACAUUUCUAAUUGUGUAGAUCAAUUCCAACGGUGCCGAUUAUUAAUUUGAAUUUUCGAUCAUUCAAAUCAACUUGAUAGGACAAUGUCUCAAUCCUAUUAAUAGGAUAGUAGAUGGACUAUAUAUAAUAUAUAUAUUAUAUAUAUAUAUAUAUAUAUAUAUAUAUAUAUAUAUAAUUGAGCUCCUAUACUUUAAAAGUACCAAGUAUUAGUGUUAUAGAUUUUUAGCCAUGGAUUAUGAGAUAUGCGGUUGAAUGAUAUGGGCCCCUAGUUGGUGCGAGGGUGGUUGGUUGAAUAGUAUAAUCUAUAUGUUGAAAAUAAUCAGAGGAGUAGAUCUAAUAAUAAAAAAUUUAUAGCACCAAGUGCUUGGGUUUUACAAGCACCAUAGCUGAACUCUAUAUUAUAUAUAUAUAGUAUAUAUAUAUAUAGACUACUAUGCUAUCGAAGCACGGAGCCUUCCGUGCUUCCAAGCUCGUUUUCGAUGUUGCGACUUUUGAAUCGUCGAUCACUCCGUUAAACUUGAUCUAGAGUAUUUGAAGUACUUAGAAAUAAAUUUUAUGAUUUACGAUAUCAUUGCCUAGUGAACGAAGGGGCUCAAAAUCAACGCGCUGAAAAUAAAAUCUUACAAAAUGUAAUAAUAUAAACUUAAAAUUUUAAAUCAAGAUAUUGAUCUUGUUUUAUAUAGUAUUAAAGAAUUUUCUAUCAAUUUACUUGAUUUAGAUAUUUCUACCGUUAAACUUGCAAACGGCUCACUACGGCCAUUGAAAUUUGUUGAUUUUAAGCCCAUUUGAUCACUAGGCAAAUGAUAUUGAAAAAAUAAUAAAAUUUAUUUUCUAGGUACUCCAAAUACUCUAGAUCAAGUUUAACGAGUCGAUCGACGAUUCGAAAGUCGCAACAUCAAAAACGAGCUGGAAGCACGGAAGGCUCCGUGCUUCCGAUAGCAUAGUAGCCUCACUCUAUAUAUUAUGUAGGGCUACUAUACUCUUAUGUAUAAUAGUAUAGAACCCUUCAUACUCAUAAGUGUUUUCAAUGAUAAGCUUUCGAAUCGACGAUCUUACUUCGUUAAAAUAAUCUAGAGUAUUUGAAACUUUUAAAAAUAAAUUUCGUAAUUUUUUAAAAUCAUAAUAAAGUUCAUCAAGAGGUAUAAAAUGAACGGUCAAAAUCGAACGACAUCUUAAAAUGGAUGAUCGGAUCCUUCAAUUUAAAAUCAAAGUUAUUGAUCUUUAUCUAUGUAAUGAAUAAAAUUUUCUAUCAAAAUUCAAACCAAUUUCGAUUCUUUUACACCGUUAAACUAGCAAAAUAUCCCAUACUGGCCGUUAAAAAUUGUCAAUUUUGUGACCUGUUGAUCGUAAGGUAAAUAAUGUCGAAAAUAUAAAUUUGAUUUCUAGACAUUUUAAAUGCUCUAGAUAACGUUUAACGGUGUGGAUCGCCGCAUUUGAAAGCUUUAUUAUCAAAAACAAUUUAUGAGUACGACGCGAGUACUCAUAAGAGUAUAGUAGCUGGACUCUAUAUAUAUAUAUAUAUAUAUAUAUAUAUAUAUAUAUAUUAUAUAUAUAUAUAUAUAUAUAUAUAUAGAAUUAGGCUGGAAUACUAUUAAUAGUAAAACGUUCUUUUUGCUAUCAAGUUUUUAACCCUUGGAUGAAAAAUUGUAAGUUCAGGAUGAUAUUAGUCGGUUAGAGUUGAGUGGUCCCUACUGGGUUAUAGUAUUUAAUCCAAUGGUUAGAAAUAAUGAAAAGAGUUUAUCCAAAGGCUAAAAAACUAGCAGCAACAAUGAAAUUUUGCUACUAAUAGUAGCCCAAUCCAACUAUAUAUAUAUAUAUAUAUAUAUAUAUAUAUAUACUAAAAUACUAUUAAUUAGCACCAAGUCAUUGGUGCUAUUAAGUUUUCAGUCCUUGGAUGAAGCGAUGUACGGUUAGGAUGAUAGUAGUCCGAUGAUAGUAGUCCUCUAAGGUUAAGUGGGUGGUUGGUUGAAUAGUAUGAUCUAACGGAUGAAAUAAUCGUUAGAUGAAAUAAUCGAAGAGGUUGAUCUAAGGGCGAAAAACUUGAUAGCACCCAAUGCUUAGUACUAUCAAUAGCAUUAUAGCAAGCCUCACAUAUACAUAUAUAUAAUGAGGGUACAAUACUCAACACUAACAGAUUAAUUUUGUACAUACUACCAGAAUAAUCACACAUGCUUGGAAAGAAAACACAAAAUUACAAACACUAAUAUUUAAUAUAGUCGCAACUAUUACCAUGGACAGUCAUAAACAGUUUCUACUCUACUUAUACAAGAGGGGACCAGACCUUGAUGCUGCAAACCUCGGCGUUGGGCUCAGUCCUUGAACUGUUGAACUCGACCCUUCCACAAACUUCACUUUCCGGCUCGAACUGUAGCCUAACGGGCCCGACCGCCUCAUGCUACGGAGUAGCUUAUCGCCCCCCUUCAUCCUCGUAGUAUCUCCUUCAUAGACUUCAGUUGAUGCACUAAAAUGACUAGAUGAUUCAUAAGCAUUACUUUGAGGGGUGGAAUCCCCCUUGCCUUGCCUAACAGCCGGAGAUGCGUGUGCAAGAGAAAUAAGAGGUGAUUGUCUUGGAGAUGGUCCUGAAAGUUCGGUGAACGCAGAUGAAGAAGUUCCGUACUGUUGCCUGAAUAUUGAGCGGAUAAUUGUGUACGGUAUGUGAACUUCAAGAGUGCUUCUUGGCAUGUAGGGGGAGAGUUCGCAAAGGUGGUCCAGGAAUAUUAGCUUGGGUACGAUAUGUGACCUGUAUGGAAGAUGAAAUGAAGAAACAGAACUUAAUUAUAUAGGGCACAAUACAAGCACACAUGAAAAUACCGCCAUUAGAGUGUGCAACAAAGAGUCCGUGCAACAAGGAGUGUAAUUUGCUUGGCUCGGUUUUCUCUCCAAAGGAGAUAUAAUAUGAAGUGCAUAACGAGAAACAAAGAAAAUGCCUAGAUACUAGUUUGAGGGCAUGUUUGGUUUGAAGGACUUCAAACUUGGAAUGAGAAUGGAAAUGAUCCAUCACUAUUGUUGGUGUUUGGUUUUGAGCGAUUGUCUUUCCGAUUCCCAUGCCAGGGGGAAUAGAAUUCCCUCAAAAUGAGUCUAUUCCCCUCAAAAUGAUGCCCACCACAGAGGUGGGAAUCAACUUUGAUUCCAGAGGAGAUUGAGAAAAGAACUCGUUUCUUUUCCACUAACAAUUAUUUAAAUUCAAAUAUUAAUCUAUAUUUAAAUUUAAAAAUAAAUUAUAAUUUUCAUUUGAGUUUGAAUUAUGAAUUCAAAUUUCAGAUUUUAUUUUUUUUAAUUCAAAUGCAAUUCUAGUAUAAGUUUGAUAUUUGAAUUUAGUUCUAAAUUUAAAUUUUGAAGUUGAAAUUUAAUUGUAAAAUCAAAUUUUAAAUUCAUGAGUUCAAAUUUUGAUACGGACUUGGAUAAUAAAUUUAAAUUUAGAACUAAAUUCAAAUAUCAAACUUAUACUAGAAUUGCAUUUGAAUUAAAAAAAAUAAAAUCUGAAAUUUGAAUUCAUAAUUCAAANAUUUAAAUUUUGAAGUUGAAAUUUAAUUGUAAAAUCAAAUUUUAAAUUCAUGAGUUCAAAUUUUGAUACGGACUUGGAUAAUAAAUUUAAAUUUAAUUAAAAUUUAAAUUUGGAUUCAAAUUUUGAUAUGGACUUGGAUAGCAAAUUUGAAUUUAAUUAAAAUUUAAAUAUUUUGAAUUUUAAUUUGAAGGUGAUUCCGAUGAACCAAACAAAUCAGGAGUUUUCGUCAUUUUCAUCAUUUUUUUUCAUCCCAGUCCAUUCUCAUUCUUAUUCCUAUUUCAAUUCAUGUUUUGAACCAAACUUCCAAAGAGUAACUAACUAGUUAAUCAAUAUCAUGAACAUCAGUCUGUUUCCCUCACAGACAAAUUGUACCUUCAGAAAAUGCUAGAAGUACUAAUAUAACUGUGCUCUACUCAGAAAGUAAAAGAAAGUACUAUCAUAACCGACGAUCACCCCAAUCACAUGCUUUUUUGACAUUUCACUAUUGGAAGAAGCUGCACACUAGUAAGAGGAAUCAAAUUAACCACUUUUCCUGUUGAAGAUGUCUCGAAUUCCAGAACAGUAAGAUUUCUAAUCCUAUACUGUUUUGGGUAUUCUAUUAAGUUUAGAUUAUCCCUAAUCUUAUUGAGGUUAUUGCUAGUCUUAUUGGGUUUUAGUUUGUAAUAUAAAUAUAUCUUUUAUUACAUUGAUUUGAUGCGACAUAUGAGAGGGAAUAUGGGGCAUCUUUUGGGAUCAGGAUUUUGUAAGAGGCAUAUUUUGUAUUCCAGUUUGAUUAUAAUAAAAGUUUUCACUGUCUUCACCCGUGGAUGUUAGCCAAUGGCCAAACCACGUAAAUAUUUGUGUAUUUUAUUUUUCUUAUAUUUUCUUAUUCUCUUUUGGUAUUUUUGUGCCUGACAAACCAGAUCUUUUCUGCUUUCAUCAUACUCGUAUCAGAAUAAAUCCAGUAUCAGGAUAAGUUGCAGAUUCAUAACAUUUAUCUUUUAUCUGCUACAGGUGCAUUUCCUUCAAAUCCUUUGAAAUAUACAGUUCUCUUCCCUAAGAAAAGGAGAUUACGAAAUCCAAUACCUAAAGGGUUCAGGCUACCGGUCCUUCAAACAUACUAAACCUUGUGGUGCAGAAAGAUUGAGUGGAGCACCAGACAUAACUAGGAAAAUUGUACAAUUUAGAUCCAACUACUAAAUUUUUACAAACCUCUUAUUUUCCCUUUUCUAUUUAGGAGAAGAAUGGGAUGUGUUACCUUAUACCAAAAGGUAUGAACAAAGGAGAAAUGAACCAAGGAGAAAACCACUUAGAAAAGCCCAGUUAGCACAAAGUUAUUUUCACGAAAAUAAUUGUCACAAUGAAAUACAGGAUUUUGCCCAACAGGAGAUAAUGCAAUUGCCAGUACAGUCCAUAGGCAUGGCAAGCAAGUGCCUAACUCUAGUCCAUGACAUAUAUCUUUUAUAUGGAGAAAAGGCUUAAAAAUGUGAAUCAUUGAAGUUAAGGCAUAGCAUUUAGAUGAAUCUGAGAAGCAGCACGGAAGUGGGAAUACUAAAUAACAAAGGAAUGCCUGGCAAGUGGCAAAUAUACAUAAUUUUGAGAAAUAACUGCUGUAACGAGGAUUUUGCACUAUUCGAUCCUUAAAAGUUCUAAUGAGUAUUAUGGAAUUUGGUACCUGGUAUUAUCGUUCCAUGAAUCCAGCACAACCACCGCAGAGCAUUUGACAUAAAGUUGCAUAGCAGAUUUUAUAUUUGCUUCAGCAGAGAUGCGGUUAAGUAUCUCAGGCUCUUUUGUCUUGUCAGCACGCUCAUUCGGAAAAGGCUGCCUUUGCUGUUCUCUCUCGAUCCUAAUAUACUCACUUCCCCCGAUCACAGCAUUGAUACACCUAGAAGAAUCCAGAUGCAGUAGUUAAUUUAUCUUUCCAUGCAAAUGUUCCCUCAGUAAACCGACAUUCAGCUGAUUGUCGAUGAAACUUCUAGAAUGUGAUACUUUUAGUUGAUAACAAUAUGAUGAUCUUCACAGAAGAAAUAUUUCAAGAAAUAGAGAUGCAUUUAGAUGAAAUAGUGGAAACUGUAGAUCAUUCCAUCUAGGAAGCUUUAAUCUCAGAUUAUAAGAUAACACCAAUGAUUGUCAACAUUUUAUUUAUUUAAAUAUACAUUAUUUUCUAGGGAAAAAGAAAAAGUAUCCGCAGUAUUUGACAAUUUAACACCUACCUGUGGUUUCUACUGUCAAGAUAUAUAAUAAAUACGAAUAGAAAAUGUCAAUGUUAAAGAAAAUUUAACUUCUAUUUUUCAAUCAAUAAAAAAAAUUCUAACAGUAACUGCCACAGUUAAUGCAGCAGUAUAACCAGAAAUAAGAAAAGAAAAUCCAUACCCAAGAAUAAAAUGAGUUAAACUUGAGAACCUAGAUAAUGAGGAUUCCAUACCUUGAUAAGCAAUGUAAGUUGUUGUUGAAUUCCCCAGUACUUACAUUAUAAGCAGUCAUACUCCAAAUAUUUGACGUCAUAAAUGCAGCACAGAGAUAUGGAAGAAAGCUCCAAGAAUUAUCAUUUGCAGCACCUGCCUCAGCCAUAAUUGAAUGCAUCCACUCUGUAUCGUGAUCACCACCAACACCAACACUGCUCGCAAUCCUUUUUAACCUAGAAAUUUCAUCCUUCUCAGGUAGGUCCUCCGGCAAGUGCUUGGCUACACCUUGUAAGAGCGAGAAAAUAAGAGGCACCUUUUCCUCUAAAACUGCUCCAGCUGCCUCAACAAGCAGCUUACGAAAAGAUAUUGCCUGCCCUGCCUGAAUACAGAAACCUACCAAUGUUUCCAAAUCGAGAAUUUGCUUUAGAUUUGCUUCUCUUUCGAUUCUAUCGCCGUUAUUUACACUCCCAGCAAAGCCCUCUAGGGCUUCACGGUUCGACCGCAAUGAUGUAUCAAUGCAGUUUAGUAAUGCAGCUGUGUGCUCUCUCACCAUUCUAUCAAUCCUGUCGAACCCGUAGCCACCAAAAAGGCGAAUAAGGGCUUUGAGUUCUCUCACAUCAGUGAAUGACUCAGCUAGAUAUCCACCAAUAGGCUGCAAGCUCGUAAAGCAAUUAUCUGCAGCAAAGGCAACUCCAGCACAAGAAAUAUCUUUAACAAUGUAAUCAAUGUACCAGUUGCUGAUAGUCUCAAUAGAGGUUCCAGUUUGUAUAUCUGCAGGCCUUUCGAAACCUUGCAAGCCAGAAAAUGAGCCACUGAAGCUCUCGGUUAAUAGAACUUCUCUGAUGCCUUCAAUGAGAUCCAUACUAAUAUGCUGCUCUGCCAGGAGGACAAUGUUGAUGUGUCUUUGUAAGAGUGAUUCUAUUAUAGAUGGACGCUGGAGGCAAUUUUCAGUUCUUAAUACUGCAUGUAAUCUUCUUUUGAAGUUUCCGAGGAUACAAUCUCUCAUGUACUGUUGACAGGAGCAAAAAUAUGGGAAGCAAUUACCAAACAAUAAUGUUUACUAUUAUAACAAGGAGCGGAAAAUCAAAAAAACUAUAGAAAAAGAACAAUCCUAAAAUAUAAGUAAUAUAUGUCAGUGCCUACAACGAAAAAAUUCUUUUAUUUUAAAGAGUUACCUGCAAGUCUCCGGGAUACUAUAAACUACACAUCAUUCUCACUUUGAUAUGGUGAUUCGUACAAUUGCUAACUGAUUAUUCUUAAUAGCAUGACCAUCGGAAUCAUGGUUGAGCUAACCAAAUACGGCUGUUUUCGUUAUGCGAACUUAAUUUACUAGCUCAUCUUUAUCUUCAUACAUAACCACUUUUUAAUUUUCAUAUCUCUAUGCACAGAGGUUAACUAAAUAAUACUUUUGCUUCAUUUCGAAUAGUGUUAAUGCAAAAUGUCCCUAGUCUGUUGAGUUCCAAUAUAUUGUGCAUCAUAUCCACUUCAACUAUAAAAAUUUAAAAAGAAAAAGAGGAUUGGAUGUGAUGAUCCACUCUUGCUGGUUUACACUUGAUACCAUACAAUUCACGGAAUGAGUACAUAUGCAAUGAUAUAAUACAUUAAUGCCUUGAUAUAAUACAUUUAUGCCUUGUGAUCUAAGAAUAAUUGACAUGUCACUACCUACUGUAAGAUGAAAUUUCUUAAUUAUUCAAAUUUUUUUCUGCAUUCUGGUGAGUUCAGAAAUAGCAAGAUGGCUACAAAACCGUCCGAAACUUUCCAAGUCAAUUAUAUUUUCAAGUUGUUCUUAUAUAAAUUCCUGCCACUUUCAAAACAUUUCACCUAAAUCUCAUGCUCUCAAACUCGAAUAUCCGCACAACAUAUAUUCCCAUAUUAGGUUCUACCCAUUUCGAUCAUAUUAACGUAAACAAUUGUGGAUUGUCAACUACAGCAUUUAAAUAUUGCCAUGCACUGAAAUAAAAAAUCUACUAGUUUAAGAAGUAAUAUAGCUGAGAAAUAAACCAUAAACUAAAGGAAAUCCAGAGAGACAUUGUACUAACCUCACGUAAUACAAAAACAUGGUUUAGGACACAAAUGGGUUCCAUGUCAUUCAAAACAGAACAAAGAUUUGUCAAUCUCUGCAUCGCAGCUUCUAACCUGCUUUUAGGAAAAGGUUGUUAGGUGAUGGUUCGUUACAGUUUUCCUUAAUUUAUAGUUGACAACUUACAUUUUGACAGAACUGUUGUUCUCUGGAUGACUCUCAUGUCCUGGUACGAGCAAGCCGGACAUGAUUUUCGUCUUCAUUGCGUUGUUCAAACGAAUAGCUGCUUGCUCUGGAAUUAGCUGCAAAUUUGUAGAAUGAUGAGUACUAACCUGCAAAAUAGCAGACCUAAAAUAAAAGUUUGAGGAAUUAUUUGCAUACCUGCAUCUCUAGUGAACCAAAUCCACUUUCAGAAUCUAAAAUAUUUAUCAGACCUUCCAAUCCGCCCAUAAUGGAUUCGAUUAAAGACUCCACAUAUAAAAUGGCGUCUCUUCCUAUUUUAUUCACCUAAAUUUGAAUAUGAAAUAUAAGAAAAUAACCAAUUUCAAGCUACAAAGAUAAAAUAAAGAUUUAUCUCAUAGUAUGAAAAUUUAGAAAGGAACCAGCAACAAAUUAAAUCCUAUUGAGUUAUUAGAAGGGGAAAAAAAAAAAGCUGAUAAGAUAGGGCAACCUAAAGUAUUUGAAAAGCAAUUACAGAAGCACUUUUAUUAGCAUUAGCAUCUCCAUUGCCCUCUCUUUACAAACCUAAAAAAGUUAUAGCAGCUUCACUCAAUUUUUCUCUGAAGUAAAUUAAAAGUCGAUGCUCUCAAAGAAUUGAAAAUUUUGAAGCUGCUCAGCCUUUCCUAUAACACAGUUAAUCCAGAUUUUGCGAUUUCUUUUACUUGACAGACCAAAUUACAAGAGAGCCAAGAAUAGAAAUCAAAAUUGCGGUCGAUCUCUGCCUCCCUAUGCUGUAUGGUAGUAUAUGUUGAGCUAUCGAGAAAGAAUCAUUUUUGAAUCAUGAAAAGCUAGAAUCAUUCGUGAAUCAUAGAGAGAUACUACUUUUGGUUAGUCAAUCAAGUAGAAUUAUAUUAUGGGAACAAUAAAAGCAAAAGGACACCUCUUCCGGAACAAUGGCAGAGGCACAUUCUGGAAAACUGCUAGCUACUCCAAGCCAUGCACAGCAAUGCUGUGGAUGUCCUUCCGGACCAAACAUUGUGUUUCGAAAGACCUGUUUGUCGAGUGUUAAGCACCAAUAUCAUAAAAAAUUGCCAACUGUUUGGAGAAAGGAAGAAAACUGCAAUAAUGGAAGUCCAAAUGGACAGAGAAAACAAAUCUAUAUUACAGCUGUAAGAUGUUGAUGAUAGAAGUACAGCUUUUUCAGGCUUCCAUGCUUUGAUAGUUGGCUUUCAAGUUCAUCCACACAUCUGCCAAGUUAGAUCGUCAUAGUAAGCAUGCAUAUAGACUAAAUGGAAAAAUAAUGAAAGGAAUCCAAUAGAAGUAAAAUCUAAAAUGUGGAAGAUAACUAUCAUGGGCAAAGAAAAUAUUUACAAUAUUUGUAUAUUUUUUCGAGAAAAGACAAUAUGUACUUAGACAUCAUUAACAUUAAACCACCAAGCUUCACAACAACCAGCAAAGACAGCAUCGCAUGACCAUCAAAUAGUAAUAGUAUGCAAGUGAAGUGCAAAUCAUAAUAGCUGCAUUACCUAGACCAAUUAUAUGCAGCAUUUCCUUCUGAUACCAAACCUUCCUUUCCGGUAGAUACUGUAGCCUUUUCCAGAUGUCUAAUAUUUAUUGAUGAUCGUGAAGACGUGACAAUCAUUAAGAUUGACAACCAGUGCUUCCGUAAAUCCUGCAGCCAUAAGACAACGAUCAGUAUAAAAUAAAUGCAAUAAGAAGAUUCACAAAGCUGUCGUAUGUGAUGAUUACCUAUAUAAUACCAAGGUACUUAAAAGAAUAAUCCAAUCAGGAGAAAAAAAACUAAAAUCAAAUCAAAUGAGGACUUGCCUUAUAAAUAUUCUGAUUAAGAUGAUAGCUAAUGACUGAUCUAAUGGCUCUUCAUGGUUUCAAAUAUCGUGGUAUUUAAAACCAAACGCACAAAUCAAACGCACAGAACCAAACCAAAGCUUCCACAAGUUUGAUGCUUUUACAGUUUGCUUUCAAUCUACGAAACGAACAGCUUUCUUCAUAAGCUCUGUUUGAUCUAUAUAUUUCUAUGAAAGCACUAUUUUAAUGGGCCCGCAGAUGUAAUGGCAAAACUAUCAACUGCUUUUAGUGUGAAGAGUAGACCAAAGUUCCAAAACUUUUUUGUGAUGUGAGAAGAAAUACCAUUAGGUCUGUUAUGGACCAUGCAAAAGGAGACAAAAAUGACUGAUACGUAGUAGUACAUCUGUUAUGGACCAUGCAAAAGGAGACAAAAAUGACUGAUACGUAGUAGUACAGCAUAUAUUUCUUACAGAGAGAUCACAUGUAAUUGCAGAGAUGUUUUCCCCUUGAGGCUUUGGAAUGUUCUCGAGACAAUGUACAACUUGCUGAAACAGGCCCUUCAAGGUAGAAUCUAAGUCAAGAGCGACCAUCCCUGGGGUACCAAGUAAAAAUCGGAUUCUUCCAGCACAAGAUGAUAGGUAAGAAAGAGCAUAACCUUUUAUUGCUGCAAUAAAAAAAAAGAUGCUUGUAAGCAUUGAUGCUUGAAAUGGUAUCAUUCAGUUCAACUUGCACUCUUAUUAUCAACAAAAGCACAUUAUGCGGAAACAAUGAAAUUAGUGACCUAGUUAAGUUUAGAUUUAUACAACAGAAAGUAAUUUAGAUAUUUGUUAUCAACUCUAACAUAAAUUCUAGUGCAUUAUAGAUGUCUGAUUGUUCCAUAAACUCUCCAAGCAUCUUGACUAGGACACUUAAUAUAGCUUUAAUGUAAGCGCUGCUGUAGAUUAUCUGAAGGCUUCACCACAAAUUUGGAGUUAUAAGGUCAUAAAUUACCCUUCUCCGAAGGGCGUAUUGAGCAUGAGAGAAGAAAAUGGGAAAAAAAAGAAGAAAAAGAACAGUUCAAUGAACUACAGGGAGUUGUCAAAGUAUAUGGGAGUUGAACCAUAGUUCUCAAGAAGCAAUAUAUCUUCUGACCCUUUUGAUUGUAAGAGUCAAAUUCCAGUUGAUCUGGAUGACAGUUUCUAUACUCACUCAUUGAAGUGUUGUUCUUCCAUUUGAGAUGAAUGAGAAUAAGCAGCGAAAGUGCAGAUCUAUGUCCAGCUAUAUUGUAGGAAGUUUGACACCAAAACAUCACAACAAUAAAGAGUUCCCAAAAAGCGCAAAAGUGUUCAAUAGCCUCCGACUGUAAAUAAAAGUUUCUCAGAUCAACCUGCUAUGUAUUUUCGAACUAAACAACACAGCUUGUCCAUUCCGUCUAGAAGGAAACCAAUAGUUGGGUCUGCUGCAUCCUGCAAGCAUAACAUGAACAACAACUAACAAAAGAAGAAAGGAUAAUCACAGGAUAACUGUGACACCCCAAUAGUCCCACAUCGGAUGGGAAUAGGAUUGUCAUUUGAUUUAUAAGAGACUUAGACACUAGUAAUAAUAACUGGGCUUAAGCAUUUUGGGCUGUUGGCUGGGCCCAACGAGUUAUUAUUGCUAGUGGGCUGGGUCGUUACAAUAACUAACAACAGCAGCAGAAUUUCAAAGAAAAACUAUGACUUACAAUAUCAACAGGUUUCACCCGAACCACUUUAGUAUUUGACGAUGAAAUGCCAACAAGUUGAAAGUACCAGAUGAUUUCCGAUUGAGCUAAAGCAAGUGCAGAAAAGAGCAUCUGUACAGUAUGUUGACAAAAUUGUGAAAAUAUCAUAGAAUACAGAAUGAAAAGAAUGUGGGUACAUAGAGAGGCAACAGAAAAGUCUGAGCUAGAGUCUUCCAUGCUGUGAAACAUUGUAUAUGACAAACCAAUAUCUAUUUUCUAGUUUUCAAUCGUAAUGACUUUCCAAAGCACACCAGAAGCAAAGAUUAAAUUGUUUAUUGAGAAGGAAAAAUUACGAACAAAUGUCCAAUUCAGUGGAAUAGCUUAAUAUUGUAUUUCAAAAGGUUUCCAAUUGUUGAAUGAACUAAUAGUUCAAUAAUUCUAGCUUGCUUGCGUGCACAAGUCUAAACGCUCCUUAGCAAUUUCAGUAGUAAAAGUAAAUAAUAAGAUUUUUUUAAAAUAAUAUUUAUGCAAGUCUUACAGACUAAAAGAAAGAAAAAGGGAUGAUCUGAAUCAGGUGUUCAACAUAACCAGAAUGCACUCAAUGCAGUGCAUUUACCUGAAUAUUAGGAGCCAAUAAACUAGGCUGGUCAGCAAAGAAUAAAACCAUCCUUCCAAUCUCUUGCUUCAGUAAAAUUCUCCUUUCACGAUGUAGAGCUUCACAAGAUAUAAGUGCUUGUUCAUGCACUUCGCUACAAAAGGCACCAUUAGUGAGAAGUACUAUUGAAAUAAAAAUCACAAAAUUGAAAAAAAUAUUAAUUAAGAGGUAAAGAUGUUCACAAAUACUGCAAUGAACAGAAAAAGAAACAGGAAGAUGAAUUGAACCGUGCAAUGAAGCUGAAUGUAUAUUCUUCUCUCAAAAAAAAGAAGCUGAAUGUAAAUUCAACUGUGUAAGGCAAGCAAGUUCAAACAAUUUCAACUGCUCCCCCUUCUCUAAUGAAUACAAGAAGAAAAAGUCCAUUGUUUGACCGAUCAGCGGUAGAAGAAAAAGAAUUUAAAAACAACACUAUAAUCUGCUGCUCUGACAACAAAAAGUUCAAACCCUUUUCACGGCUCAAUCUUCUUUAAUGGAUGGGGCAAUGGAUGGGGCAACCAAUUACGUUGUUUGAGUAGUCAGGAGGAGGAAAAGAUGUAAUAAAUAAAAAUUAAAAAAUCAAAAAAAAAAAAACUUUUGAUGAUCUCACAUCAGCUCGUAAGAGGGAUUAGUGAAGUUAUGCUACAGGAAAGCACCACUGUUGGUAGGAGCAUAUCUGUAUAUGAAACAUUCAAAAGGAUGGGGAUAUUUACAACUGGCAUCUCUAAGCAUCAAAAUACUUGAGAUCUGAGAGAAAAAAUGCUAACAUUGUGAUGGUAAACGGUUCAUUGGGCUCGAGUCCGACUCGAGUCAGAAUUGACUGCGACAAUCUUUACCAAAUAGAGUCCGAUGGAAUUCAAUUAGGAAUUUAUUUUUAUUUGAUAUUUUGUUUAUUAUGUCCAAUGGAUCAUAGAAUUUAAUUAGGAAUUUAUUUUUAUUUGACAUUUUGUUUAUUAUAUCUGAUCAGGAUUUUAUUUGUAAUCUAGUUAGAAUUGAUUUAAGAUUCAGUUAGGAUUUAGUAAAUCAGGGAAGCUUUAGUUGAAUUUAGUUUCUUCUUCUUACCAUAUCAAUAAUAUGCCCUUCUUCUAGAUAAUCACUAAUAGCUGUACUUACCAAUACAAAAAAUGAUUCGUAUUUCGGUUUAUUGAAAUUAUAUGGAAUUUUGAGAACCUUGUUUAAUAUAUAAAUAUGAGUAAUUAGCCUCAUUGUAAUGUAUAAUGGUUUAAGAACUAAGAAAAACUUUGUUUGGAGAAAUUUUCUCGCAAAUUGUUCCUUCAUGUGAGGCAAAGUAUGGACAAAGUCUGGCCGAAGUGAUUCCGAGCGGGAGAGAGUCCCGCUUUAUAUUACUCGUCCAUUUCAUCUUCUUUCUUUUAUUCCAACCGUUGGAUUUAUUAUCAGGCGACAAGCAUCGUUGAGAUCAACUUAUCCGCGUGGGACUUGUUAGAAAUUACCGGCACAAAAGAAAAACGCAGCUAAAAAAUAAAAUUGCACUUUUAAAUUUUUCAAAAACCAAGACCAUAUCACGUAGCCGAAGAACAAAAAUCAAUCCAGUGCCAGCGGAUUAUUCUCAUGUUACAAUGUGAAAAAAAAAAAAAAAAAAAAACUAAACUAAACUAAAAUCAGAUUUAAUGUUUAGAAUAUACCAUCUUGGACUAUAAUAAUUAGAAUUACAUUCUCGCUCUUGUGAUAUGCCCUCGUGCAAAACUGUAUUAUGUUGUUUUUCCUGGAUGAAAUUCAAUGUAUUGGUUUUGUUUACGCUUUGGACGGAUAGGGGAAUCUCUGUCCAUUCAGUGGGUCCGUACACGCGCCCACAUAGCCUCUGUUGUGCGAUGGGGCGGGCGUGACACCAUCUAUAUUAGGCUUUUAGGGCUUUUUUUGCAUUUGGCCCCCUCAAAAUAUAUUAUUUACAAAUAGUCCUAUCAAAUUUAUAAUUACAAAUUUGGCCCUAUCCUUGCCACGUAGCCGCCACAUCAGCGCCGUGGUUUUAAAUUGAACACGGUGAACCAUUCACCGUGUUUGAUGUGGCGCCGUGGUUUUAAAUUGAACACGGUGAACCAUUCACCGUGUUCAAACACGGUGAAUGGUGAAUGGUUCACCGUGUUUCAUACCUAUAUUCCCCCCUUCCCCCUUUUCAAUACUUAUAUUUUUUCGCAAUGCAAUACAUAUAUAUUAUAUUUUUCCCAAACAAGGUGAACCAUUCACUUAUUUAAAAAUAAUAAUAAUCUUUGAAUGCUUUAGAUAAAUAGAGGGUUAAGAUUGAAAACUGAAAUGAAUAAAAAGGAAUAGUUUAAAAAGUCUAAGAUAAGGUGGUGCAUUAGGCCCAAGCAACAAUUUCCCCUUCCCUCCACUACGUUUUGUUGGGAAGAGAGUAAUUAUUGCCUAAAUUUAGUCCACCAUGUCAUUCGUGGACCGUCCAAGUAAUCGACUAAUAAUAGAAGGAAUAUCUAAUAAUUAUUAACUUAAAGUAAAAUAUUAUAUUAAAUAUGUAAUACAAUAUUUAAAUAUUUUUGGUACUAUUGGAAUUUUUUUUCGAUGCGUAUUUUAGAGUCAGCCCACGGUGCACCGGGUGUGUCCAAUAUUUUUCUAGGACAUGUUGCAAGCUCCGAUUGGUUGAGACUUUAAUUGUUGACGUGGCUCUCUAAGAAACCGGAAAAUCCACGGAAUUUAGUAUAUAGUUAUAGACAAUGAGAACAAAUGACAGCAAAAUGAAAAACAUACUAAGUAAAAGUAGUGUUUGAAGUUUUUACUUGUUGCGCAUCAGUAGAUUACAAGGGCAUACCUUAACAUUUUUUCGACUUGCUUUGCAACAUUGUACUCCAAAUCUGCUUCCUUUUGUUUCGCGCGUCCAGAUUUGGCCAUUUUCUUUGAUUCUACAAUCCUCGGUAGAACAUAAAGUUGAUAUUCUUCAUGUAGGAGCACAAACUACACAACCAAUACAAAAUAUGCUCUAUCAGGAUGAGUAAAAAAGUGACAAGUGUAAGGACCUGUUUGGAUGCACAGUAAAAAAUCUCCAUGGAUUUUAUAAACUAUGAUUUUGGUCCAAAUGAAAUAAGGAAUCCUGUAACUCCAAAAAAAUUCCACGGAUUUAAUUUUUAAACUGUUUGGAUACGCAUUAUGCAAUUUCACGAGAUUUAUCUAAAUUUUAAAAUUAAAAGUUAAAAUUUCAAAUUUCAAAUUUCAAUGAAAUUUAAAAUUUAAUAUUUAUAUGUGAAAUGUGAAAUUUUAAAUUUUAAAUUUUAAAUUUUGAAAAUUAAAAAUUUAAAAAAUAAAUAUCUAAAUUUAAUUUAUAAUUUUCAAAUUUAAAAUUUUAAAAUAAAAAAUUUUAAAUUUUAAAUUUAAAAUUUAGAAUUUAGAAUUUAAAAUUUAAAAAAUAAAUUUAAAAUUUAAAGUUCAAACUUGAAAUUUGAACUAUGAGAUUUGAGAUUUGAAAUUUCAAAUUUGAAAUUCAAAAUUUAAAAUUUAAAACUUUUAAAAUUUAAAGUCUGAAAUUUGAAAUUUAAAAUUUAAAAUUUAAAAUUUAAAUUUGAAAUUUGAAAAUUAAAAUUUGAAAUUUAAAAUUUAAAAUUUGAAGUUUAAAAUUUGAUAUUUCAAAUUUAAAAUUUGAAUUUUGAAAACUAAAAUUUAAAAUGAAAUUUGAAAUUCUAAAUUUGAAAUUUGAAAUUUGAAAUUUAAAAAUUAAAUUUGAAAAUUAAAAAUUUAGAAUUAAAAAUUGAAAUUAUAAAUUAAAAAUUUUAAAAUUUGAAAUUUAUUAUUUGUAAACUUAAAUUUAAAAUUUGAUAUUCGAAAAUUAAAAUUUGAAUUUAUAAUAUUAAAAAAUUUAAAAUUUAAAAUUUGACAUUUAAAUUUUGAAAUUAUAAAUUUUAAUUUUUGAUAUUUCAAAUUUAAAAUUCAAAUUUUAAAAUUGAAAUUAAAAGUUUGAAUAUAAAUUAAAUUGUAAAAUUUAAAAUUUAAAAUUUAAAAUUUAAAAUUUAAAAUUUAAAAUCUAUGUUGAAAUUUAAAAGUUAGAACUUAUGCAUCUUGCCUAAGAAUGGUGGAAUUCUUUUCCUUUGGUUAGAGUGGAUUAUAAUUUUACUCCAUUUUUUCGAGUAUAGUUUAUUAUACUCCAAAAAUUACGGUAUUUUUUUUUCUUCCAAACACUUGAUAGGAUAAAAUUCCUACCGGUGUAUACGUUUUUAAGGGUAACCAAACGGGGCCUAAGCCUUGAAAGAACUCCUUACCUCAUCUCUGAAUAAAGGGAGAAUCAAAUUCUCCUUAAGAACAACCUGAAAUCAAAAGAACAGCCCAUGUAAGAAGCCAAAAUUAUCCAUCGUUAGAAAAAGUGGCAGCCGAAAAUAUAGCAAUGGCUGCCUAUAGCAAUCUUCUGAUGAAGAUACAUAAUAUAGAGAUAUUAAGUGUAAAGACAUGAUUUAGAAUCCUAGACACAAAAGCUGCUACACAUAAAGGACAAGCAUACAUAGCUUAUGCAUGAAUAGCUCAUGUAUAUUUUGAAAGAUUCUUAAGAUCUCACUAAUGAACCAUCCAUUUGAUGAUCAGUUAGUAGUUAACAAUUUGUGAAACUCUCCAGAUCAAUUAAUAUUUUGGCACCACAUGUGCUAUAUAUGAUUAUGUACAAUGUAAUCACAAUAAUCGACCCUAUAAAAUCUGACUUGGUUAUGUUAACGGGACAUUUUAGCCAUCUACUAUUUGUAAAUGUUUCAAUACAAAAAAAAAAGGUUUUUUACAAUGAUGAACAUAAAGAUUAGACUGGAUGUACCAUGGCAAUGUCAAUACUAGUAACACGGAGUAGUUCAUCAGGGCAAACAAGAUAACCAAGAACAACCCACUCCCUGUAUGACGUAACAUUAGCCAGGUCCUGAGCCCUCUGAAGGAAACAAAGAAUAAUGCAGUAAGAAUCUGAUUCUGGAAACAGGAAAUGAUGAAUGAUCGCACUAAAGAAAGAAAAUUACAACAGGUUAAAAGCAAUUAAAUUACUUUCAGAAACAAGCAUACCAUAGGGUGAGCAGAGUUUGUUAGUAUGUCGGGGUAACGAGGGUGAAAUGGACUUAAAAAUCCCUCAUUUCUUAGUUUCUUUGUAUCCGUAGAAAGAAAAAUAACAGGUCCUAUAGCCUCCAAUACCUGAGGAGAGAAUUUUCGGGAAAAAAAAAACCUAAAAGAAUAAGACAAUGUAUACAGGAGAAAUUCAACAUAAAACCACCACUAGAAAUACAGCCAGCAAAAAUAAAUCAAAUUGUUGAAGUAUAUGCAGCCUCCACAAAUAAAAAGGAAGCACAGUAGUAUAUUGCAAGUAAGAGCAUUAAGCUCUAACACAAAUUACAUUUCAUUAAGUGAAGCAUAAUAUUUCUUUAGAUUGCUCAAGAAAGGCCAACUAACAUGAAAAUUAUGUAGAUUUAGCAAAGAUUUUGGGAACACAUUAGGCUCUAAGGUGGUUUCUCGUGUAAGAGGUUGUCUUUCAGAGAUUUACAUAUGUAUUCAAGAAAAGUCCUGUAUCACAUCCUUUUCCACAAAUGAUCUAUAGUGUUACCAUUUAAGUAAGCAACCAUCGCAGAACAUUUCCGAAAUAUCUAACAAUAUUUCCAAAUUCACAAUUCAAGCACAUCAUAAUAAUAAGAUAAAGAAGUAACAUAGCUAUUAUGGAGUUCAAAAUAUCUACAUAGUGACAAAAACUCUGAGAUAAACAUGAAUUGGUUUAGGCCAGUUCCAAUACAAAGCUCAGGCUAUUGUCUUUAGUGAAAACGACCAUAACGAAGGCUUGGCAGCAUAGCAUCUAACCCAAAAUAAGCCAAAUCUAGCUUGUAGGAUGUGACACCUCAAUAGUCCCACAUCGGAUAGUUAUAACUAGAUGUGAUAGUAUAUAAGCUUGAUUGGGCUAAACAUAAUAACUGGAUUUAAGUAUUUUGGGCCGGUGUUUGGGUUCAACGAGUUAUUAUUGCUAGUCGAUUGGGUCAUUACAUUUGGUAUCAGAGACAGUUCACCAGCCGAAAGUGUGAGAUGAGUCUUGGCUGAGCCAGGGUCAAAAUGACAGACUAAGCUAGGGUCGGUGAUUGACAGGCUAAGUCAGGGUCGGAAUGACAAAGGCUAGUGAGACAAGUCUCACAUCGCCUGGUGAUCUUGGGCUGUGUGUGUGUUUAGAGCUAACAAGGACGUCAGGGCCUAAACGGUGGGAGUCUGUGACACUCCAAUAGUCCCACAUCGGAUAGUUUUGACUAGAUGUGAGGGUAUAUCAGCUUGACUAAGCUAGACAUAAUAACUGGGCUUAAGCAUUUUGAGCCGGUGGUUUUGGCCCAACGAGUUAUUAUUGCUAGCAGGUCGGGUCGUUACAUAGGACAAACAAGGCUCAAAUGGUCGGAUUUGCUUUCUGCUAAGGUUCUUUCCUCACCAAAAUGAAAUGUUUUAGUCAAUUCAAUAGAAUAUAUUCCAACAUGUGACUUGGUUUGAAUUAGUUCCCAAUUUGGAGGAUGAAUGACGAAAAGACUGAUACCAUAAUCCAAAGUUUGCCGUUUCACUCAAAACCACCAAAGAUUUCUCCACUAUCAAAGCUUUUUAGUGCAUAUUUAAUUGGAAUUUAACGAGGUGGAUUAGAAAAAGAAAUGAAAAUAGAAACGAGAUUCAGCAUUGAUAUCUUGUCCUCCAAAACUCUUCAAAUGCUUCUCACAAGGUAACAAGUCAAGUUUUUCCUGUGGAAAAGUUACUGGCAAACCAAAACAAGUGAGACUAUUCCAUGUAAUUGAACAAUGCAAAAUGACUAUAAAGAAAAAGAAACGCAACAAAUUUCUAUUGAUUUCUUGAAAACAGACAGCUUCUGCCAAAGGGCUGCUUUUAACUCAAAACUACAAACAAAUAACCAAAAAUGGGCUACUGCCUGUUUCGGAUCGACAGCCUGGUGAAAUAUGGAUCGCCUCCUCAUAAAUAUCACCAUUUUGUAUGUCCCUGUAGUUUAUAGUUCUUUGAAAACUAUUAAUCUUCUAAUUGUGUAUAAAAACUCAUUAACUGUGUCACUUUUUCUCCGGGGAUUGCAGAUAUUCUUCAUAGUUCAAUUGGUUAUACAAAUGAAUAAACUAAGCAUACUUUAAUAACCAUCCAGACGGAUCUUCUCAGGUUUCAAUCACCAAUGGGAAUCUUGCAUUGAAAUUUACUAUAGAGUCAAAACUAUUAGCAAGUUUCAAUCAUCUGACAAAAGUGACAUUAGAUAAACCCUGAAAAUGAGAGCUCAAUUUAUCAGUUGCAUAAGGCAACAAUACUUCUCGAAUUAAAGGAAAAAAGGCUCUAUAAAUAAUGCAUAAAACAAAAUUGGCAUUUGAAAAAAAAGUGACUAAAACAAAUACUCAAGAAAAUUUAAUAUGCAUCACAUUUGGUAUCAAUUAAAAGCAGAGGAUAGGAGCAUGACCUCUCCAAUCCGUGGGCUGACAAAAUUGAGGUCCUCUUGCAACCCUUUCACAGGUGGAUCAUACGAGUCCACAAACUGAACCAAUCUGCAAAGCCAGAAAGUGGAAAUCAAGAAAGUAAUCCAAUUAAGAAAAGGUGUCACUACAAAGAACUCGUUCGCCAUCAAACUGCAAAAUACAUCAUUCAACAAGAGAAAAUAUGUAAGAAUGAUCCGACCAUGUGUUAAUUAUAGUUAUUGCUCAGCAAGUCAUAUGGUGUAUAGCUGAUCAGAUGUUGCAAACCCAAACAAUUAUAAUAUUGCUUUAAAAAAUUGCAGGUUUCAUGAUUUAGAUUUCUUAUGUCAGCCCCAUAUGUGACAAGAUGAGGAAAACUUAUUCUAAGCCAAUUUUAGACCACAAAAAUGUCUAACAAAAUGAGCCCUCCCUUUCCCACUAUGAGGACCAUAAGAAACCCAAGAAAUCCGGGUAAAUGGUCCCAUUUGUAAAAGAUAACUCUUCAUUCCCUUUAUAACCAGCUAUUUUUAGCUUAAACAAAAACACCUCUUUCCAGAAACAAAGUAACCUACCAAUUCACUUCAAAUAAAUAGAUCAAAAAAAUGAUAGCGCUAGUAUAGGUUACAAAACCAUAUGAUGGAUAUCCACCAGAAUGAGGAACCAUAUCAUUUAACCAUAUCACUUAAACUAUGAACCUUUGGUAACACAGAUAGUAAAUGCUAUGGAUAUCCUAUCUUCGAGAUUGCGCAGAUCCUUCCAAAUAAGUUUUAGAAGCAUCUCAGUUAAAGAACACAAUAAGAGUAAGUUACGGAUAAAUUUUGGGAAAGAAAAAGUAUUAGAAAAUUAAGUGCAUGAACUAAGAACACCACUUGUAAAUUUGUAUAAGGGUACACUCAAAGUAGCUAUCCUACCGAUGAUAAAACUCACAAUCUCGCCCACCCUUUAGCAUGUAGUGCAAGAGAUUGUACAGCUGCAGGAUCAUUUUUCUAGGUAUCUGAAGAAAGAAUGAAUUAGAGAAGAAUAAUAAGCAACUACUAAGUAAAAUAGUAUGAAAAAGUUACAAGAUAAUAGAAAAGGCAGACUGGAAAUGUAGAAAGAGGUAGGUUACCUUGUCCGAGAAAAGAUUUACUCGGACAAAUGAACAAAAGAGAUCCAUAAAAGCAUGUAGGAUUAGAGAAUUUUGAUGGGGCUGCAAAGGAAAGAGACUCACAAUCAGAACGUUGACAAAGGUAAAAACAAUGUAUAGCGCUAGGGAAGGAUUGCAUACUAGCAAUGUUAUAACUGUGCUGCUUAAGUCCAAGAUUAGCCGCAGAGCUUGUUCACGAAAUGCCAUUAAAUCAAGCAACAGCUGAUGACAGGCAAAUGAAAGAAAAAAACAUCAUCUGCUUAGUUAUUCAUUUAAUGAAUAAGGCAUUAUAUUGGUUAAAACAUGUAAAUUACUACCAUGGUUUGUUACUUUAUCUUCGUAAAUGAUAUGCAAUAGUAAGGUACCUUUUGGAAAACUCAUUUUUAGUCAGUUUAUAUAUGAUGCACAAAUUAUUAAUUUCUAUUUAACCAAGAAAUAUGGGGCUAUAAUAGGAAUUAAGAUAUUACAUUCAAACAUCAUAUGGGGUUGAUAUAUGAAGCAUGGAUACUUCAAAUUUCAUGUCGUUCCCAUGUCGGACAUGUAUUGGAUACCGACACUCGCCCGAUACAUGUUAGAUACAGAAAUGAAGUAUCUGACAUUUUUAAAACAUAAAAAAAUGUAUCAAACACAGCUCGGAUUUGAGAGGGAUAUAGAGGAAUAUGGGAGGGAUAUAGCCAGGUUCUUUUUUGGUGUCAAAUGAUUAGAACUCAGAAUUUUUCGAAAAACCCACAUCCAAACCUAUUGGAAAUAAGGAAAAAGAAUGAGAAAAAUGUCGAUCUCUUUUCAAUUUAUCAUUUCUUCUAUCUUUUUGCUCUUGGAUGGUUGAAGGCACUCUCUCUUGUUCUAUCUCCGCACAGUAUUAAGCUAUGUUUCAGUCCUUUACCGCUUCUCUUUUACUUUCUUUCAUCCAAUUUGUCAACCUAGCAGUAAUCAACAAAAGACAUAGAGAAUGAUUUUUUUCUUCUAUUACAUUAUUAGCAUAUUUUCUUUUAUUACUGUGUUAUAUAAUAGAACCUAAUAGAAUAGACAUAUAUGUUGAAUGACUAAUUAUCUAUUUUGUGCGACUAAAUAUCUAUUGUCAUCAUUUGAUCAAGUUGGAUGCCAGUUAGUUGAUGCUUUUUGAAUUAUCAUUUCAUAGGAUUGAUUGUCUUUUUUUAUGAAGAAAUAUAGAACAAUUAUACAAGCCAAUCUAUAUCAGAACAUAUUCCUUAAUAUAAUUCAGGUAUCUUGAUUAUCUCAAUAUAUCAUUACAUGUAAUCAACAUAUAUUUAAAUAUAUGUAAAAUAAUAUUUUAUUCAAGCAUAUCUCGUGUGAUAUACCGAAACUUCGGUAGAAACUAUCGAACUUUAACCAAAUUGGUCAAAGUGUGAAGUUGGAAUGCUUCGGAAAGGUCGAAUGCGUCAAAAAGGCAUUAAGUGCAUUGUAGGGAGUCUUCGAGAGCAAUGAGAGUGAAAAUCUGCAAACUACAGAUUUUCUGCUCUCGGGGACCGGUCCCUGGGGGGAGAGACCGGUCCCCGUAAGCGUGGGAAUGGCAAACAGCCAGUCUGCACAAAAUAUGCUCUCCGGGACCGGUCCCUCAGAAGAAGACCGGUCCCUCAAGAGGUCCGGUCCCUCAGGGGAAGACCGGUCCCCCGCGCGCGAAGAUGGCAAAGGGUGCUCUCGGGGACCGGUCCCUACUAAAGAGACUGGUUCCCGUGCCCGAUAAUGGCCCAGUCUGGGCAGUGUGUUGGGACGAAAGUUGAGGGGCCCAAAUGCAAUUAUGCAUCAAGUGGGAUAUGUAUUGGGGGUAAAUGAGAACUUUCUCUCAUUUCUCUCCCUCACAACCAAACCUAAAGAGCUCUUUCUCUCUCUAGGAUCUCUCCCUCUCUCUCUCAAAGGGGUGGAGCUAGAAGGAGGCUUUGGUGGAGAAGAAAACAAAGGAGUGGAGCAACUUCCUCUUCUUCCUCCUAGGUUCAGGGGAAAUUCCGUCCGUUCAGCGGGUCUGUUGGCGUCUCAGUGGGCUUUUGCUGUGGAAUUGGGGCUUGACAUAUGCUGUCAAUUGGUGGCCCAAUUCUUACAUGCACCUUGUGAGCUACCACCUCUAUGGAUUGUCAAAUGCAAUUCUCAAUUACAGUCGUGGCACCUUAUUGUAUGGCCUCCAAUUCUCCAGCUACAAUAAUCCCUCUCUUAUUGCAUAUUCUAAUGCUAAUUAGGCAAGUUGCCCUCACACUUAUCUUUCCACUUCUGGCUUUUGUGUCUUUGUCGGGUCAAGCGGCCCGAUUAAUCGGACCCAUUGGUUUAGUUUGAUGGGAUUUACAUAUCGAAUUCAUAACCAAAACGAACUAAUAUUUCUUACUUUAUUUGAACUAUUUUAUUACCAUUAAGAAUAGAUCUAUAUUGGGAUAAUUGUAUUUUAAUUUUCUUUUUUGUUAGAAAUCAGGAUUUAGUUAGGAUUUAAUUAGAAUUUGAUACAUAGUAGGAUUAAUGAUUUCUUUCCAUAUUCGUAUUUUUAAUAGUAUUAGACUAGAAACUCUAUAUAUAAGGCCUCAAGCCUCUCUUGUAUAAUGAUGAUGAUGUAUAGUUUAUUAUUCAAUUUACAAAAGAUGAUUCGGUGCCUUCAUGCACGGCCGAUCUUUUAGUUUCCUUCACGAAAGAGUCACCCUAGAGAGUGUCCAGUACCGGAUUAAGUCCGUUACAAGAGUGACUCCCUAAUUAUCUUCCUUAUCUUCUUCAUUUUUUUUCUCUUUUAAGUUUUUUUAAUUUUUCCUAUAUUUUUCUUUAAUUUUCAUAAAUUUUCAUACAUUUUAAUUUUUUAAUUCAGAAAAUUCUCAAAAAUUGAAAAAAAAUUCAAAAAUAAAAAAAUUUUGAAAAUCAAAAAAGCAUUCAAAUAGUUAUAAAUUUUAUUUGGAGCCCACCAAAAUGUAGGAUUCUAUAUCCCAUCCUACAUUACUAACCUUACUAUUCGUCCGUCAAAAAACAACCUACUAUUUUUCAGUUAAGUUGCAAAACUAAACAUCGUUCUGUUGCCUUCACUCUUACUUAAACUACUUAGAUUAGUUGCCUUCUUCGUGAUCUUGAUGUGUCACUAGGGUGCCCUAUCUUCAUAUACUAUGAAAAUCUCAGUACUAUAUGUAUUACUACUAAUCCAAUCCAGCAUGCGCACAUCAAGCCCUCUGAGUUUGAACAUCAUUUCCUACGAGAAAGUUCAAGACAGUGACCUUUCUCUAUUUUACAUCUCAUCUGAAAAACAACUUGCAAACAUCUUCACAAAGUCGUUGACCAUCUCACAUUGUUUUGCACUUUGUACCAAUCUUCACAUCUGGCCACAAGAUGCUCAGCUUGCGAGGGAUGUUAUCGGAGAAAUAUUUAUGUUAACAUAACAAGCUUUGAUACUUAUUGUAUAUAAUUUAUAUGUAUAUUCUUAUCUGUCAAACUCUAACUCUACAUAGCGGUUGUACCCUAUAAUACUCAAACACAGACCCUAUAUGGGCCCCUGCAGUUUUACCAAAACUUUCAAUAGCUAACAAAACUACCAUACAAAAGAGAGCCCCAACAGUUUUAACAAAACUUUCAAUAGUUAACUAAACUACUAUACAAAGAAAGAGUCAAAGUGUUGUCGAGACUAUUUUUAAUUGGAUGCAGGGAAAAGCAUUUUAUUUAAUUUUAUUCCAUAAAACCUAACUAAACUGAAUCAAUUGCCACACUGGUUUUCAAAAUAUGUCAAUGCUUUUUGUACUCCAAAGUUCCUUAUGCAGAAACAAAUUUCAGAUCUAUCACCAAAAGAAAGUACUGAGAGUAUUAUAAUUUAUAUUUAAUCAUAAACAAUACAUUAAACCGCCCUCAUUAUAAAGUCCUUCCAUCUAUUUUGACAAGAGAUACGAGUUGUUGCGAGAGGACGGAAAAGUAGUAUGGCUUUUAGUUGACUAAUAGAAACUAAGGGACAAGUACAACAGAAACGCGAAAGUACCAAUCAAACAACCAACAGAUUAGCAAUAAAACGGAAAAUGAGGCACUACAUACCAUGACCCAUGGCUCUAGGUUUUGAAAAUAACCUUCAGCAUUUUCAUUCAAACCGUCAAGAGCCAGCUUAUCAACCUGCAAGAUAAUUCUAUUGUCAUGUCAAAACUAUUCAUUAAUUAGAAAGUUCGCUAAAGACUUGAAUCAUAUCUUACCCGCUCAAGCUGCAAUUUGUUUGGAUGCUCUGGAAAUUUCUUCGAAAGGAGUAUGCAUAUUUUCGGAAAGUUGGGAAUAAUGCCAGAUUUCCAAAAUGUAUCAGAAAAUGUAUGUGAAGCAAGAUCUGGGUAGUCUAGAAUAGUGUUCAAUUUGUACAUUUUAGUUAAUAAGCCCUCUGCAACUUUUGUUAGUUGGACCACCCAUUCCAUUUGUAGAGUCUUCUGGGUGGUUCCAGACCCUGGAGGCCCAUCAGUGCCCACAUGCUUCCAACUGGUCGCUGUCGAAGGUGAUGACUCUUCGAAAUUUAGGUAAUCAGACCAUCUAGAUAACCCAUCCCCGUCCUUCGAUUUCAUGGAUCUGGGAGAUGUGUCUUGAGAUAGGACCUGCCUAGGUCUUGCCAUGUGAGUUCAACCCUGCAACCACAUUUAAGUUAAUAACUUGAAUCAGAGAAGAUAUUAGAACAUGCACCAGCAUCCAUCCCAUAUUAUAUAUAUAUUAGGAAAAGGAAAGCAUGAAGAAUAUCAUUUUUACUAUGAAAAUGGUGUCCUAGUCGCUCCCUCACUAUACCAACACAUUAGCUCAAGUCAAAAGGAGCAUUGUAGGGGUAUAAUGAUACAAUAUCCUAAUCAUUGCCUUAUUAUUUCAGGCUUUCAAUUUCUCUUCCAGAUUGAAUGGCCAAAGUCAUUACUUUGUUUUAUCUUCUUGAUAGGUCUAUGUGGCUGAUUACAUGAUUGACACACUUCAUGACGUAGGUGCUGGUAAAAGGGGUUUUGACUUAAUUAGGGUUUUGAGUCAUGAAAAUGCCGUAUUCUGAUGUAAAAAAGUUAACCAAAUUGGAUGCAUGAGCUGAAGAGAAAAUUGGAGAAAAACUUUUCAAACUUGAGACUCCGAUGUCUAGAGCAUGGAUAAUACAAUCUAGACUAUUUAGACAGGAGGAUUAUACAGAAUCACAUCAAUCCUAACUUACGUAGAGAAGCAAAUAUUAUCUUUGUUUGGAUUAGAGAGUUCUUGCUUGAGUGCAUCCAUCCCCUAAAGCCUCCAUAUAUAAAAAGUUUGUCAUGCUUUCUGUAACUAACGUAAAUUUUGAAACAAAAUAAACUAAUUUGAAUGUUUUAGCCAUGACGACUCAGAUCUCUCUCUCUUUACGGUAUGACAUCAAUUUCCAGUCCCAAGAGUGCUCCAUCUACUACAUCCUUUUAGCUUCCUUCAACUUUAAGCAUCAUUGAAUUGAGAGACUCUUCCCCUCUAGAAUUAGCAAAAUUUAACAGCAUUGAGCUAAAGAGUCGGAUAAAAAGUCUUCAAAUUUUUAAUCUGGCAACCAGCCAGUCAACCACUUCAUCUAAACUGCCCAAAAGCUAUCCAGUCAACUGCUGACAUUUCAUGCUAUCAAAUGACCACUGUAUUACAGCAAUUAUGCAGCAGAGGAGAGCCCCACUCCACUCCCCUUUACUCGUCUCAUUUCAUCAAUCUUCAAAAACAACAGCAUAACUCAAAUAGCAAUUUGAUAUAUCAAAGUAGUACUUUAGACUAUAUUAAUGUAAAGGUCGCUAAUUUGGCGUGACAAUAGGUUAUGACAUAUACAUAAGCAAUAAUAGAAGAGAUGUGUAUUACUGCCUCGAUGAUUCAAAAGAAAUCAUGUAAUGAUAUAUUGCCAAAGCUAUUCCCUCAUGACUUAAAAUGUGGACAAUUAACUAACAAAUGCCUACUAAACUGGUAGUGCUAAAGGCAUAUAUUUUCUGAAGAAUUUAUUUUAUGGUAAAUAGGAACAUAAUUUCUUGUGUAUGCUCUUGGAAACAAAAGAAUAGGAAUAUUCAACUAAUUAGCCUAUAAAAAUAGCAAUUAUCGGUCCUGCAAGUUUCGUUCCAGACUUUGAUUUUAUACAGUUACUUUGCUAGAGAGAUCCUCCAUAUGAUAGUGAAGCAUUCUCAAAUACUUAGCUUAGGGUCGGUUUGACCCUGCUAUGGGGUGCCUUGCUAUUAGAUGAAGUGACAUCUAAGUAGAGCAUUUAUUCAAUGAAGCAUUAUAUUAUAAUCCCUUUGAUAGAUUGUCUCUGCAGCAAAAGUAGGAGCAUCAAAUUACAGCUCUGCUUUUGGACCUCAAAAUCUCAUUACUGAUUCCUGCUGAAGCAAAAGCACCAGAAUCUUUUGUCCGCUAAAUGCUCCACUGGAGGUGACUACUGUGAAAGGCGGAAGCAAAAGCGAGCAUAAGUAUGUUAAUUUAGCACAUCGAAGCUUAAAGAAUUAGCAAAUUUAGAGCUAAGGCUCAAUUUAAACAUCAUACUGCCGGAUGGUAGAAAAGUAUCGCAUAUUUUACAUACACUUUUGUGACGAACAUAUUUAUUGUUCAUGGGGCAGCUUAAUGGUCCUAAAAGAAUCACUUAACUCCACAUUAACUUACAUAUCUAAAUAUCAAAGAUUGAAUAGAUGUUCUACACAUUUAUGUUAACAAUCAAAGAGAAAACAAAUUGUUAUAAGUUUGGUGACCUUUCUGACUACUUCUAAGGCCUAGUUUAGCAAUGCAUUGCUGUGAUGCACCCACUUUUAUAACUUUAGAAAAGAGUUUUAAUUUCAGAAAGCAUUUAAAAGCUUUCAUCCUCCUAAUCUAGAAAAGGGUGGCAGAAACCACUACCAGAGAAGCAUCCUUCGUAGUUCGCACAACCGUUUGAUAGCACCAGAUGCUUCUCCAGUGGUUGUUCCUACCAUCAUUUCACAGUAUAGGAAAUUCUAAAGCGCUUUCGAAAUUUUUCGGCCCACUAAAGCAUCAAAGUGAGUGCAUUUGGGCAAUGCAUUUUCAAGCCAGGUCCAAAUAUACUAAUACCCAUGCUGUGUCUUUUGCCUUGUAAACAAGUCAAAGGAAAUUCAUUUGAAGAAAAGAACAACACAGGCCUUCUGAAUCGGGCUUAUCAUGAAAUUACAAGGCAUCACCUCUACCGCCGCUUCACCCACCGUACUAAUCUGGUAGGAUCACUUGCAACCAAGGUUUUAUGUGCCCAUCGGUAGCCGUACCGUGCCAACAAGAUACCGGCACGAUAUAGAUCCCAUGCCGAUGGCACGGCUCAAAAUCCUUUAUUUUUUAAAUUAGUAAUUAUUUUCUCAAUAAAGUUCAAAAGAUGUGAUAAAAAUACAUAAUAAAUAGUUAGAAUAUUUUAUUGCUAAAGAAAAUAAAUAUGUCAUACUAUUAUGUGUCGGCAAACAAGAAUUUUUUUGACCGGCACGCAUCGGCACAGCUCGCUCGGCACGCACCGUGCCGUACAUCUGCAUCGCAUAUACAUGAUAAUUGUUGUUGCAUAUAAGCAGCUGACCCAAUUUUAUCUUUCUUGUUUUUUUUUUUUCUCGGCUCUCUCUUACUCUUUUCUUUCCUUUAUCACUUAAAGGAGUAACCUCAAAAUCACCGGGUUCAAGAUUUAUGGUUGCCACAUUGAUGUCUUCACCCGAGUCUCCACUACCUUCCUCUAAAUUACAUGAACGGUAUGGAUCGGGAGGCAUUGUCCCUAAAGCCGGUGUCCAUGCCGUGUCACCUAAAGCAAUGGUUUUCGAAAACAUAACUUGUCGUAGUGCAGCAUUCUCCAACCCCGUGUCACGAAACUUUGCAGUUUCAGAUAGUACCUACAUAUAUUCAUAUGGUUACAUUAUAUUGUAAAUAAAACAUACAGUAUGAAUAAGCUAAAAAUUAUAUUUUAUACUAACCUUUAAUUUCUCCUCCCACCAUUCAAGACUGGCAUCAAUGGUACCCCUUACAUGAUUCCAUCCUAAUCCUGUCUCUUUACCGACUAAUUGCAUCCAUAAAAUCCAAUCCCUUCUAAGAGAAUCUCAUUUAUUUUUCAAUUGUAUUUUGUCAUAAGCUCUAUUUGCUUUCUCUCUAAAUUUAUUAACCACAUUUUGCCAUCCAAUUCUAUUCAAAUGAGUAUUAGGUCGGUUCCCGGCAUUGACCUCUUCAACACAUAUUUCGCAAAAAAUUUUAAGCAAUGUUGCAUCCCACGUAGCUUUAAUUUUUUUUUCUUUUUGGGUAGAUGGUUCUCCUUGUGAUGAAUUCAUCUUUCAGAUUUCUAGUAAACAAAUAUGUAUUAAAAGAUAAAAAGAUAUAAAAAGUCACUAAAUAAUUGAAACAUUCAUACUAUAAAUUUCGCAAAAUAAUUGCUGGAAAACAAAUUCCUAGAUCAUUUACAAUGUAGAAAAGCAAAGGCACAAGAUUGCUUCAGAACCCAGAAAAGGUAAUAAGACAACCAUAGAAUAAUUCUUCCUUAGCUGUUUGUUAACAAACUUGAUUGAUCAACGGCAUAUCACGGAUUAGAUUAAUUUGACUUAAAGCUAAACGUUACCGAUCUCCGAUGCAAUCCCCUAAUCCAGGUUUAAAUAUACUUUAAACUUUGUUUCUAAUCGAAGGCCAAAGAAGAACAUGAAGAUCAAAAGCCUCUUAGUUUAGUUUGUAAUCGCGUCUUUAGCACGUGCUUUCGUUACGGUUUGAUAUUAUUACUAGCUUGAUUCCAAGAGUGUUAAUGCUGAUUAGUUAAAGUAAGAUAUAUUUAUAUCCAAGCAGAUGGGUAAAUAUAUUAUGACAAGUUAAGUUAGGACCCUUUCUUAUCUUGUUUUGAUCUGGAUUAUAGUCAAUGCUUAUAAUGCACCAAACUUGGUAGCUAAAAUCUCCAGUUCUCUAUUCUAUUCAAACUUGGUAGCUAAAAUCUCCAAUUCUCUAUUUAAGUUAGGACCCUUUCCAAGAGUUUGCAGGUAUAUACUUUUCAAAAACUUCAUGUGAGAUGGCCUCCUCUUCGACCACAACCACUCAAUUUCUAGCUUAAUUUUGCUAAGUUCAUCAUCAUGAUGCAGAUCCGACCAAGCCGGCGGGAUCCGUCUUUGCCGGAUCCCGCCGGCGCUGAUCCGAGCCCGGAUCCAGCUCAAAGGCGGAUCCGGGGCCGGAUCCGGCCAAGUCGGCAGGAUCCUUCUUUGCCGGAUCCUGCCGGUGCUGAUCCGUGCCCGGAUCUGGCUCAAAGGCGGAUCCGAGGCCGGAUCCGGCAAAGCCGGAGCCCGCCGGCGCGGAUCCGGCCAAGAGAGAGGUUCGCCGGAGAGAAUCCGGCCAAGAGAGAGAUCCGAGCUGAGUGGUUUAGGGAGAAAAAUCAAGAGAGAGGGAGGGAGAGAAAUCUGUACGAAAAAAAAGGGAGUACCUUGGCUUGGAGGUUCGCCUGAGAGAAAAAAACUCGCCGGAGUUUAUCCGGCGUCGCCGGAGAAAAAGCGUCGCCGGAGAAGAAGGGAGAGAGACGAAGAAGAGAGGAGAGGAGAGUGAUUAGAUGAAGAACAGAGGACAGGAGAGAGGUUUUUUUUGGGGGAGCGGGAGUUGGCUGUGAGUAAUUAAUGGGAGAGGUAUUAUUAAUUAUAAAAGAGUAGAUUGUUUGUUGGCCUUUUUGCAUAAAAAAUUUACUUAUUUUGGGCCUUUGCAAAAUCGGGUCAUCUUUUUUAUUUUUACAGAUUCGGUCCGCUUUUUUUAGCAAACUGACCAAAAUACCCUUAUUAUUUUUUCUCUUUCUUCUUUCUCUCUCCUCUUCGUCUCUCGUUCUUUUUUUUUCCGCCGAAAAAAAAAAAGCGAAGGCCAAGCGGAGCAAUUUUUUCUUCACUUUUUCUUUUUCUUCUUCUUCUUCCUCCUACUGGAGCACCUUUUUUUUUCCCUCUUCUUCUUCUUCUUCUUCUUCUUCUUCCUGUAAGAGCACGGGGCGCUCCACGGCGACUUCCGGCCUCUCCAAGCGGCGUCCACCUGGCGGCGUUUUGCAGGGAGGGGUCGGCACCGACGACCGCGAGCGCCGCGACGAGGGUGGGGGCGCGCGGGAGGCGGGCGGCGAGGUGGAGCGGGGUGUCGCAGCCAGGGACGUCACGCCGGUAGAGGGCAGCGGUCACGCGCGCCGCCCGGCGCUUCGCUCGUGCGGUGUCGGCCACCGUCGCGAUCUCCGACGACUGCUUCUUUUUCUUCGUAAUGGUGUAAUGGAGACUGCGAGAUCGUCUCCGCCUCCGUCGUGGUGGUUGUGAUAAAGAACAAGGGAGAGAUGGUGAGAAAAAAAAAUUAUAGAAAAAAAAUAAAAAAAAGAAAAAAUAAAAAUAAAAAAUAUUUUUUUUCCUAUAAAAAAGAUCAAAAAAUAUAGAAAAAAGAAAAAAGAUGAUAAAAUUGCACUGUUAAAAUGAGAUUACACUGUUUUUUUUUUUAAAUUGCACUGUUUUAUUAAAAACUGCACUAUUAUAUAUAAAAAUUACACUCUUUUGGAAUAAANCGUGGCCGAGGCAGCCGCUCGAACUCGUGGCCGAGGUUGCGGCCGGCGACGGCGAGCGCCCGCCCCAGCACUCGCCGCUCACGCAGGACUUCGCUCCCUCUCCCCCUCGCCCCGCGCCCUCGUCCUCGACUUCUUCUGCAUGAACGCCCUCGACGUCGCCGCCGAGCUCGCGCUCCCCGCCUACUUCCUCUUCACCUCCAGCGCCUCCGCCCUCGCCGUGUUCCUCCACCUCCCCGUGCUCCACGCCCGCUCGGCGAAAUGCUUCAGAGAGCUCGGCGCGGAGCCGCUGCGCGUCCCGGGCGUGCCCCCGCUCCCCGCCGACCACAUGCCCCUCCCCAUUCUCGACCGCGCCGACGAGGCCUACGAGGGCUUCCUCGGCCACUCCCGGCGCCUGGCCCGCUGCGCGGGCAUCGUCGUCAACACCUCCCGCUCUCUCGAGCCCCGCGCUGUGGACGCCCUGAUCGCCGCGGGGCUCUGCGUCCCCGACCACGAGCGGCCCCGACCCACCCCGCCCGUCUACUGCGUCGGCCCGCUCGUCAAAUCCAGCGACCGCACCCGCGGGCGCGGCGAGGAGUGCCUCGCGUGGCUCAACUCCCAGCCCAAGGCGAGCAUCGUGUUCCUCUGCUUCGGGAGCGUCGGGCGCUUCUCCGCGGCGCAGCUAAAAGAGCUCACGAAGGGGAUCGAGAAAAGCGGGCACAGGUUCUUGUGGGUGGUCAGAAGCCCACCGAGCGACGACAACGACGACCCGGAGAAGCGCUUCUUGCCGCCACCCGAGCCGGACCUGGAGAAGCUGCUACCGGAGGGGUUUCCGUACCGGACCAGGGAGAGGGGCAUGGUGGUGCAGUCAUGGGCCCCGCAGAGAGAGGUGCUGGCCCACGAGUCGGUCGGGGGGCUCGGCUACGACAUCGCUCCGCUCCGCGCGGCAGUGCCGGCGCCACGCCGGGCUGCUGGCGAGCUUCGAGGAGGCCCUCGGCCGGCUGCGCUCGGCGGAGCUCCACCCGCGACUCCGCUCCGCGGGCCGCGUGCACCGUUAAUGGUGUAAUUACACCAUUACACCAUUAAUGGUGUAACCAUUACACCAUUAAUGGUGUAAUUGCACCAUUACACAGGCGGGGAUGGCGUCGGGGAUCCAAUCACGGCCGGGGAAGAGCGGCCCGAGGCUGUGGAUGCCUUCCAAAAGCCAAAGGUCGAGAGGGUGGAGAAUUAGUUGAAAGAGAAUGAAGAAGAGGUGGCCGGGUUCCAGUUUUCCGGCGGCUGGGGCACCUGCCGGCGGCCGGGGUGCGCACAUGGGUUGGACAGGGACCUGCUGAAAGUAGUUAGGGCACAGCUGGGGGACAAGGUCGGCCAGAUCUAGGGUUUCGUGCAAAGAAACCCUAGAUGCAAUUUAUAUAUAAGUGGACUUUUGCAGAUAAACACAAAAUAUUUAAACCUCAGCCCCUGCCAGGGCGUGCAAUAUGCACGUAAGCACCUCGACGUUCAAAAUCACGCGAAACGACGCAUGAAAUAUUAGGGUUUUCGCGAAGUUUCGGAUUUUGCCCAUUCAACCCCUUAGCGAACAUCUCGCAAUUUCAGAAGAUCCGUCCGUCGAAUUUUCGAUCAGAUUACGCCAUCACGUUUAGCACGACUGGGGCAUCGAAUCUAGCAUCUCAUUUCGUCCGAUUUGGUCUCCGAUUCGUGACCGAACCAACCCUCUUUGCUUCCACCAAUAACCACAUAUAUUUAUAUAUGUAAAACCAAUCAAACCCCUUUUUCUCGACAACCGUGCAUCAGAAUCCAAUUCCGUCAGUGCCAUUAGGUCCAGAAUAGUCGAGCUGUUCGAAACGGGCUACUGGAGUGCUAUGAUCGGAGUCCAAUGCGUACCAGAACACUUCUCUACUUGAAGGCUCCUCCGAAAAGCCGGAGUUACUAUUCACUUUAAGUCAUUGGUUCUGGUCACGUAACUUCUCCAUCUUAACUCGUUUUCUCCUGAAACUUUACGGGUGCUUAUGUAAUUAAAUUACACAUAUAAACAUCGCCAACAGAAAGUUUAGUUGCACUGUCAAAAUCUCAAUCCUUACAACGUCAAAACCUACGGCACCCUUGUCGCUGUCGCCGUCACUAUUCGUAGCCAUGUAUUCCGCCGUAUCGUGAUUUGUGUCAUUUCUGAGCCGGCAUCGAUGUAGGUGCGGGUGAAAUAAGAGAGAGGAGCACCGUGUUGACGUCGGCGCGGUGGACGAGGAGAAAGGAAAGAAAGUGGGAGGAGAAGGAGAGGAAGAAACGGGAUGGCGGAAGAAUAUGAACUGUAUGAAAAUAAAAACGAGCGUGAAAAAAAAGAGAGAAAAAGGAAUAAGAAUAUUUUGGUUAGUUUAUUAAAAAUCCGGAUCGAAUAUAAAAAAUUCAAAGGCACGGUCUACUUUUACAAAAGGGUUUAUUACACCAUUGGUUCCCAACUUUUACACCAUUUUUCACUUUGGUCCCUAACCUUUUGUUUUUGGCAAUCAAGUUCCCAAUCUUUUGAUUUUAUUUCAAUUAAGUCUCAACCGUUAGAAGAGUGUUAAAGUUGACAGAAAAUGCCACGUCAGCAUCAUGUCAGCGUCAUGGAGAGGCCACAUGUCAGCGCCAACUAAUUAUACAAUUUAAAUUUAAAUUUUAUAUUAUAAAUUUAAAUUUAAAAUUUAAAUUAUAUUUUGAAUUAAAUUAUAAAUUCAAAGCAAGAUUUUUUUAAUUAACAUUUUAAUUUUAAAUUUAAAUUUUGAUUUUGGAUUCACAUUUAAAUUCGAAUUCCAAAUUCUGAUUUUGUAUUUAAUUUUAAAUUCAAAUUCACAUUUUAAAUUCUAAUUCUAAUUUAUUUCAAACUUUGAUUUCGAAUUUCAAAUUCAAAAUGAGAAUUUGAAUUCGAAGUUUAAAUUAAAAUUUAGAAUUGAAAUCAAAUCUCAAAUUAAAAUUAAAAUUUGAAUUCAAAUUGAAAAUUUAAAAUCAAAACUUCGAAUUCGAUUUUAAAUUCAAAUUUAGAUUUUAUAUUUAAAUUUUAGUUUCAAAAUUUUGAUUUUAAAUGCAAAUUCAAAUAUCAAAAUCAAAAUAAAAAUUUUAAGUUUGAAUUAAAAAAAAAUUCAAAUUUAAGAUUCAAACUUAAAAUUUGAAUUUCAAUUCAAAAUUUUAAUUCAACUUUAAAUCAAAAUUGUAGCUUUAAAUUCAAAUUCAAAAUUUUAAUUUCUAGUUAGUUUGAAAUUUUAAUUUAAAUGUUAAUUUUGAAUUUAAUUUAAAAAUUUGAAUUUUUAUUCUUAGGGACUAAAGUGAAAACUGUGUAAAGUUUACAGACCAAAAUUGGUAUGCAAAAGAAUGCCGCGUAGACGCUAACAUGAAGGCGGUGAGUUAAUUAAAAUAAAAUCAAAAGGUUAGAGACUUGAUUGUCAAAAAAAAAAAAAAAAUGAAGAAGGGGUUGGAGAGCCAAGUGAAAAAUAAUGCAUAGGCCAGAGAUCAAUGGUGUAAUUAACCCUUUACAAAAUUACAAAACGGGUGAAAUUUGUUUAUACAAAUUGGCCUAAUUUUAUUUAGGAAAAGAAAGAACGGUUAUGCCUUUAGCCCCGAGCGUUUUUCCGCGCGUUUCUGCGGGCUCGCGGAGCGCCCCGGUCCGAAAGAUGAGAUGCGCUCCCGCGCGCCAGCUCUCGCGCCCGCCGCCGACCUCGCGCUACUCAUCGACCGCUCCCGAACCCUCCACCACCUCCGCCAAGUCCACGCCCGCAUCGUCACCUCCCCCGACCUCCCCCACUCCGCCUCCUCCUCCCUCCUCCUCCGCGUCCUCCUCUCCCCUCUCGCCCCCACCUCCUACGCUUCCGCCCUCCUCCUCCACCGCAUCCCCUCCCCCUCCCUCUCCCUCUCCCUCUCCCUCUCCCUCUCCAACUACAACGCCCUCAUCCGCUCCUCCUCCCCCCCUCUCCACCCCCUCUCCCUUUACUCUCGCAUGCUCUCCCAUGGCCUCCUCCCCGACCACCUCACCUUCCCCUUCCUCCUCAGGAGCUGCUCCCUCCGCCUCGACCUCCUCUCCGGCCGAUCCCUCCACCCCCACAUCCUCAAACUCGGCUUCCCGGCCGACGUCUUCGUCUGCAAUGCUUUGCUCUUUAUGUACGCCUCCUGCGGGCGCAUCGACUGUGCCUGCAAGGCGUUCGACGAAAUGCCUCACAGAGACGUGGUCUCCUGGAAUUCGAUUUUAUCCGGGUACUUGCGGUGCGGGGAGCUUGACUCGGCGCUGCGCCUGUUUUCAGAGAUGAGGGAGAGGAACGUCAGAACGUGGAAUGCGAUCAUUACGGGGUUUGUUCGGGGCGGGCGGGCGAGGGAGGCGUUGGAUUUGUUUCACGAGAUGCAGCUCUCGGGCGGCCCUUGCGCUAGGCCGGACAAGGUUACGGUUGCGAGCGUUAUCGCGGCGUGUUCUUCUUUGGGCGCGUUGGAUCAGGGGAGAUGGGUGCACGGCUAUUUGAAGAAGCAUAAACUGGAGUUUGAUGUCGUUGUCGGGACUGCUCUGAUAGACAUGUAUGGGAAAUGUGGGUGCAUGGAGAGAGCUAUUGCGGUGUUUGAUGAAAUGCCCAAGAAAGAUGUUUUGGCUUGGACAGCGAUGAUCUCGGCUUAUGCCGCGCAUGGCCUAGGAGAAGAGGCUUUUGGCCUCUUGAAGGACAUGGAGAGGAAUGGGUUGAAGUUCAACCAUGUGACCUUCGGUGCGCUUCUAAGUGCAUGCGCACACUCUGGCUUCGUUGAAAGAGGUCGCUGGUGCUUUGAUGUGAUGAAACGCGUUUACUCUAUUGAGCCGCAACCUCAGCAUUAUGCCUGCAUGGUCGACUUGCUGGGCCGAGCAGGGCUUUUCGGAGAAGCCGAACGGCUCAUACAAAGCAUGCCAAUGGAGCCGGAUGUGUAUGUUUGGGGGGCAUUACUUGGUGCUUGUCGAAUGCAUGGAAAUGUUGAAGCAGGAGAGCGAGCGGCAGCUCAACUCAUUGGUUUGGAUCCUCUCAAUCAUGCAUAUUAUAUUAUUCUUUCUGAUAUAUAUGCUAGGGCUAAUAGGUUUGAAGAUGUGAAAAAGGUUAGAGGUUUUAUGAAAGAGCGUGGGAUAAAGAAAACUGCACCUGGCUGCAGUAUGAUCGAAGUCGACGGUAAAGUUCUUGAGUUUUCUGCCAAAUGGGUGCUUGAGGACCUGAUAAAUGAGAUUGAAUGGGUGUUAAAUGCAAUAAAUUUUGAAUUGAAGUUCACUAAUAGGCUUUCUAAAGAAUAUGGGGAUCUAAUGGAGAAUACAUGAACUAUUAGGAUCCUCUGAAGCUGCUCGCAUUAAAAGGCUGUUCUUUUCCAACUAAUUUGUUUGGAUUUGGAACUCUUCAGCAUGUGGAUCUCGCUAAAACAAUGGUCGAGAGAGAGAGAGUCACUAAAGUCUCAAGUUCAGCAGGAUCCGGAUGUGGGUACAUCUUGUUACAUGGGUUUGUGUCUUUGUAUUAUGGUACAAGGUUUGCAGCUUCACUCUGAGGAUGUGAGACGACUUCCCUCUCACCCGCAGAGUAGGUAGUGUAGUGGGCUGCGCUUAUUAAAACAUGCCCUAAAUAAACAUGUAUGUAAAACACUGGGCACGGGGGAGGAUUGUGAGUCUAUUGUUGGAUGUAUCAGCUUAACAUUCUUUUUAAUCUGGAGUUUUGCAGAGAUUGCAAGAACUAUUGGGCAGUGGAAGUUUGCACAAAUCUUUUGAAAAUCUAUAUAUAUCUAUAAUAUGUAACUACAUAUUAAUUGUCAAUAAUUUGGCUAGCGUGGCGUAUCCUCUUUUUUGGGCACAUUUUUCUUCCUUCUUCUAGGUUGGGUGGGCCUGUACACCCCCUCUCUUCCUCUCUCGAGCCAUCCUUUGGAGAAUCCUUGCGCUGGAAGUUACGCAACUUUGGAAUAGAAGUAUUUUGUAUGUAAAGAACCUUUGGCAAGGUCGGAUUGAGCAUGAGACAACUUGGGAGCUAGAAAGCUCGAGGCUAGAUCAUUUUCCCUAUCUAUUCGAUGGGUCAGAGUGAUGCAAGGAUUUUGUAGUUUCGUGGAUGAGACUUUUUUGAAGGAGGGAGAAUUUAGUAUAUUAAACUUUAAAAAUUACUGAGAUACAGUGUAAAACUAGUGAAGGCCCGCGCUUCGCUGCGGAAAAUUUUUGUAAUUUUUAAAACCUCUCGAAUAGACUAUUUUUUAUUAUUCAAAAUUUAAAUUUAAAUUUAGAAUAAAAAAUAUUGAAGCUUAAAAUUUAAAUUUUAAUAUAUCAAAUUGAAAUUUCAAUAUUUGGAAUUUAAUAUUUAGAUUUUUCUAAUUCAAUUUAUAAUGUAAUAUAUAUUUAAAAUAUUGCAAUUUGAAAUUUUAAUAUAUAUAUAUAUAUAUAUAUAUAUAUAUAUAUAUAUUUUAGUAGAAAAUUCUAAUUGUUGUAUUUAAUUUAAAGUUUAAAUUUAAAUUUUUUAUUUUUUGUAUGUGAGUCACAAUACUAAAAAAAAUGUGAAAAGAAAAAAAAGAAGAGAGAGAGAAAUUAAUAUAUUCAGAGAUUAAUAUAUUCUAUCUCUCUCUCUAUAUAUAUAAAUUUGAAUAGAAAAGUUUAAUUGUUGUAUUUAAAUUUAAAGUUUAAAUUUAAAUUAUUUUUUUGUAUGUGAGUCACAAUACUAAAAAAAAAAAAUGGGAAAAAAAAGUUUACUCAUUGGUAAAAUGAACUUAGUUACUAUAAUAGAUAACAUGCUAGUUAUUAUUUAUAAAAUUAAACAUUAUUAGAGUAUGUUUUCUAUGCUUUCGAAAGCACAGAAGUUACGUAUUUGUAAGUUAUUUUCGAUAAUAAAACUUUCGAUUCGACGAUCAGUUUCAUUAGUGGGUCCCACAGAAAAAAGAUACAAAAAAAAUCCGCUCCGCACCGGCUCGCGCAUCUCCGCUCGCACAAUCCAUCAAAUAAGAGAUUCGAAUUAAAAUUAUAUUUAUAUUUAAAUUUUAAAAUUUUUGUAUGUGAGUUGCAAUACUACAUAAUAAAAACAAAAGUUAGAAAAGGAAAAAAAAAAGAGAGAGAGAGAGAAGUGGAAGUUAGAAAAAAGCAAAAAAAAGAGAGAGAAAGAGAGAGAGGAGUGGAUCCACAGGAUAAAAAAAUUACAAAAAAAUUAAAAUGAGAGAUAAAGAAAGAGAGGAGCUGAAGUUAGAAAAGGAGAGAGAGAGAGAGAGAGAGAGAGAGAGAGAGAGAGAGAGGAGUGGAAGUUAGAAAAGAAAAGAGAGAGGAGAGAGAUGAGAGAGAGAGGGGGGGGGGGAGUGGAUCAACAGGGAAAAAGCAAAAAAAGCAAAAAAAAAAAAAAUCCCGCCUCGCGCUAGUCUCCGCGCCUACGCGCCCGCGCCGCCCUACCGGCGCGCCGCUCGAGCCCCCGCCUGCUCGCCCGCGCCCUUGCAGCCCACCCGCUUUGCCCCGCGCCGCUGCGCCCUGCCUGCUCGCUCGCCCGAGCCCGCCGUGCCGGCUUCGCUCCCGCGACGCAACCCUCGGCUCGUGCCCGUUCGCGCGGCACCCACGCGCGCCCGCGCGCGCCCCGCAUCGGAGCCCGCCCGUGCCCUCGCUCGCUCCUCCGCCUCCCGCUGCGCCCGCCCCGCCUCCGCCUCCCGCCUCCGCUACCGCCCACCCGCUGGGAGAGAGGCAGAGAGAUUGUCACGCCCCGGGGUCCCCUUUUAGUUUGAAACACAGCGGAAAAGCGUUUAAAUUUUUUUUUUGAAAACCUGACCCCAGAGUAUGCCAGAUCCGCCACAAAUACAGGGAAUCCACUGUUCACACGGACAGAGUCUCCCCUGUAUUUGCACGGCGUCCCACAAGUACAAAAGUACAAACAGUAUACAACCACAACUAAAUGAAUACACAGAUAGCUCUACAUUCAUACAUUCACCAUUCACACCGUAGUUUUACAUUCGAUGUUUAAACGAAAGUCCACGAAAAACCUUUUAAAAACUGUUCCAUACGCGAAAACUUUUAUCUUUUAUAAAAGCUACCACGAGGGGUAAAAAACUUUUUAUUUUACCAAAUCCAGAAAUUCUUUUAUUACAUUCAUGAAAGUCCACAUAUUCCAAUGUAAUAAAAAUACUGAACCAUAUAAACUGACUAAGCUAUAACAACAGAAUAGUAGGGAUAAAACUAAACCGAUAAUCUGGGUCGGAAGCUCUAUCGACCGCUACGAACGUACCUCACGUCUCGUCCCAAAACUCAACGCCUGUAAUACCUGAAAAAUAGUGGGGGAGGUGAGAACAUGUAAACAUGUCUCCCCUCCCAGUGGGUACCGCAAGCCGAAGAAGGCGAGGAGUACUCACCGGAUCAGGAAGAGAUAAACAACAGUAUGGGUAAGUAAAAUACAGUAGCAACGAUAAUGAACGAAUGAGAUAUAUAUAUGAAAGCACAACUACCGCUACUGUAAUGUACAACUGCAAGCAUACAAGGAUAUCAAAACUAUAGUAGCAAGACAACUGUAAAGAAAGAACUAGAAGUAUAUAUGCAACAACCGCUACUAUAGCUAUAUGCGUCAACCGGACGAGAAGUCCAAACGUACCCAAUCUAAACCGCCGUGUCGGUCUAAGGACCUCAGGCAAAAGCCACUAUCUGCUCACACCUGGCAUGUAACCCUAGCACAAGAGAACACCGCUGGGCUCACGGGUCGGAUGUACGACCACUUUUCCGGAAAAGAACACCCUCCUGCGGGGGUAUCAACCCGCUGGUGUACGUGAAAUGCACUCGAGCUGUGGCGAUCAAUGCGGAUAUGAUCAAUAGCCAACCGUCGGCAAUCAGCCGACAAUCACUGCCCCUCUGGGCAUACUGACCGUGUAGGUCAUCAAGUAACAACGUGAACCGACCGAGAUAGGUCAAUGUACGGAAAGUAACGAACGACCAAACAGGUCACCGAUGCAAAUAGGAGAACCGACCAACCAGGUCAUAAGUAUAGUAUAUACGAAUGCCAUCUACUCUACCCCUAUACAGGAUACUACACAUAGAACAACCAGGCAGAGUAAAUAAAGAUAGUAUGUAGAUACUGCUCGAUGUCAACUAAAAGUACGAACGCAAGAACCGACCGAUAAGUCACAGGAGUGUAUUCGAUAUAGUCCAGAACUAUCGUCAGCACCAGCCGACAAUCCUACCCCUCAGGGUACACCGACCUCAAAGGUCAUCGACGACGGGACUCAUGAAGCUGACUGACUAGGUCACAAACAUACCAAACAGUAGAACUGAGUAAACUAUAAUAAUCCGUCGGCGUUAGCCGACAAUCCCGCCCCUUAGGGUAUACCGACCUCAAGGGUCAUCGAACGAAGUACGAGAACCACCCAACCAGGUCAACAGAUACUGAAUGCAACAACAAACCAACUAGGUCAACGGAUACUGAAUGCAACAACAGACCAACUAGGUCAACAGAUACGAAAUGCAACAACCAACCAACUAGAUCAACAGUUAUGCAUAUAUAAAGAGAACUGCUCUACUUCUACUCGGUAUACAAAGCAUACAAACAGCGAGUAGUGUUUAACGAAUAAAUAAGGGUGCAAGGCUCAAUAUACUAUGGAUAGUAACAACAGAAGAGUAAGGGUAAGAAACCAUCACCAAGCGUGCACCACUGUACCGACGUCGGAUCGAAGUACCCACCUGUAUAAAGCUGAAACGGUCUCGCGAAGGCGGAGACGAAGCGACCGGACCUACGAAGGGUCCACCGGGUUAGAGUCUAACCCAAAAACACAAUAACACGACUAUUCUCACACAAAUCCCAAAAUCAUAACCCCUCAGAAAUCGGUUUCUCAAACGCAACUACCGAACCAGCCGGAAGUCCCAGAAAUCGUACCGAAACUCCACCGUCGCUCACCCGUCAUUUCCGAACCCUCGAGAAGACGCGGGUGACUAGCCAACAAGGCUCAGCGACGCUACAAUCAACCACGAGGCAUCGUCGGAUGAAUUCCGAGUCGAAAACGCGUUCUAUCGGCGGAUUUCGCCGAAAACGCUUCGGAAAUGGCGAUUUGAUUUCCGCAAGGGCUUGGGGCCUUGGACGAUCAGU